UGCGUUUGGUAGUCCGCUUAACGUGGGAUAAAAAUACUGUUUGCAUUAAGUUAAUACUAACACAUGUUUGGCUCUUAAAUUGUAUUGCAUUAACUUAUAAAGUUAAUGCGGUCAAAUCCGCAUAAAUCAAACCCGAGGAGGUGACGGGUUUAUACCGCAUUGCAUUACAGAGGAAAAAAUUAAGAAAUUUUUUCAACAUUUUCACCCCAAUCCUUCACGAUAAACUUCAUAUCACCCGAUCCAGCACCACCAAAUCGACUUGUCAAUCGUUGCUCAAUGCCAUCACCGAUGCCUUCACAGUACCGCACGACACCACGGCCACUGGUCCACCACCAUCGGCUUGCUCUGUGGAGAAGAUGAUAUGAAGACGCCUUCACUGUGGAGAAGAUAAAGCCAGAGAAGAAGAAGAAGACAAAAGAAAGAGAAAAAGAGGGAAAAAAAAAAGGAAAAGCAACUGAAAAAGAUGAAGGAAAAAGAAGAAAAUGAGGGGAGAAAAAAAGGAAAGCAAACCGAAGAAGACGAAGAAAGAGAAAAAAAAUUGGAGAAGACGAAGGGAGGAGACACAGGUGGCAAAUGAUGAUAAGGAACAUUAUCGAAAGAAAAGAAAAAUUAAAAAAGAGAGAGAGAGGAAGAUUAAAAAAAAAUUAUUUUUUAAUAAAUAAACAUAAAGUUAAUAAAAAUUAUUUUUUAAAUUAAUAAAAAAAUUAAUACAAUACGGUGUAGUACCAAAUAUAAUAUAAUUAAAAAUUAAUACAAUUCAAUAUAACACCAAACGUUGUAUAAUAUUAUUAUAAUACAGUGUUAAUGCAAUACAUUAUAAUACAAUACACAUGCAUUAAAAUAAUGCAAUACAGCAUAAUACAAUAUAGUGUGCCAAACGCACCCAAUAUGAAUUAGAUAAGGCUUAAAAAAUCUGAAAAUGAAUUGGAUCCAGUUUUUUUUCUCGAGAGGGGGAGAAAUGAGAUUAUGUAGCUUUUCAAAUUUACAUUUGUCAAAUAAUUUUUUUAAAAAAAUUACAUUCAUCAAACUUUCUCCUUUGCACAUUGAAUUACAAUCAACUCAAAUAACGAAUUAGGUGAGUUGGUGAGACCAUGGCUACUUACGUGUCUCUGAAAAUUGUUACUAUGUUUAUUUUAAAUACACAUCUAUUCAAACCUUUGAAAUAACUUGCAAUGAGUUUUCAAGGAGUGUAUGAAUUUUAUUUAAAAGAGUAUGGUAAUCAUUUUGUGGUAGAUCCAAGCUAUAUCGAAGCAAUGGAUUCUUGUGUUGCAAUAAACCUUGGCUUAUUUUAAAACGCCAUUUAUAAGCACUUUAAAUUAAAGCUUCGAAAGAGUUACCCAAGUGGAAUAUCACUAAUACCUUAAUUUGUUUUUUUACUGUAGUAUUGCUCCUCGCAACUGGAUUUCCUAUGACAUCUCAUUUUAAGAUAAUAAAAAAAAAUCAAGGAAAACUAUCUCUGAACCAUUUUGAUUUUUUUGAAACUUCAUGAAGCAAUCAACAAAAUUCUAAUAAUAUAUAUUUUUUUAAUCAACCAACCAUUUUACCGUUAACAAAAUUAGAAUAUGUUAAAAUAUAUAUGAUAAAAGUCUAAUUUACUUAUGGAUACAUAAAAUAAUAACUUUAGCCUAUGAACAAUGAAAAUGACAAAAACAAUAAAUUAUCGUAUUGCCUUCUCAAUUCAAAAAUACAAAUGCCAUCCAUACCCCAAAAAAAAUAGUCGCUAAAAUGAAAUAAUAAAUACUUUUGUUUGAAUAAUCACCAAAAUAAUCUCCACAAUUAAAUUUCUCUCAUCUUUUUCAAGUGGCGGGUUAAAUUAAAAGUUAGAAAGUAUGAAGACAUUUAAAAAAAUUUUUGGUGGCUACAUGGACUUUCAACAAAUUUGAAAAUGAUGCAUAGAUAAUUUUUCCUUAAUCAAUUUAACUUAAAUUAUUAAAUUAAUAAAAUUAUCCAUGUAACAUCAACAAAUAGUUAACGAUGUGAAAAACAAAAUGAUUUGAUGAUAUAAAAAUAAAAAAUCAGGUGGUGCAAAGACAUUAUCAGAAUUCAUUGAUAGGGUUCAUAACAAAUUUUAGGUGGCACAUAGAUUCCCCAACAAGGUCAAGAAGGAAGGUGAAAAUUGGAAAAAAAAAAAAAAAUAGUGCUAUUGGCACCCCUCUAAACUCCUUAUAAAAUCCCUCUUUUACAAAUGUCCCAUUGAAAAUAUUUGAAAUUACCCUACUUCUAAAUACACCAUUUUAAUUCCACAAAUAACCCUACAUUCCAAUUUGUCGACAAAACCCAAUAACCUCGGAUUAUACUUUGUGGAAUUUUCACUAACUUAGUUUCAAACUUUCAUGCACGUUGUUAAUGAGAAUUAUUUUCAAAUUUAUCCAUUAGUUUCUAAGAGUUUUCAAAAUAAUCAUCAACGUGAAAAAGAGAAAGUGCUUAUAAUAUCAACUAAUAUACUAUUACAAUUACAUUAAAACUUAAAAUUAAACUAUUAACCUAUUUCUCUUUUGAGAGUUUUCAAAAUAUUGGGCACUAGUAAUUAACAACCCCAUUUUAUAAUAGAAGGAUGAUACGAGUUUAAUUUUUUUUUUUAAUUGUAAAUUUCUAAAAGAAGGUUGUAUAAGAAUUUUAGAGGGUGCCUCUAGCUCGAUUCAAAUAAAAAUUACAUCAAAUUAUUUUAGGUAUCUAUUAAUGAUUUAAUUUGCAAAUAAGGGAGUAACGAUUUAAAAUUGCUCUAAGAGUCUUAGAAAGCCGACCGCCUCAUCAAAAAGUCAGGAUGGCCGAGUGGUCUAAGGCGCCAGACUCAAGUUCUGGUCUUCGAAAGAGGGCGUGGGUUCAAAUCCCACUUCUGACAAUGUAACUUUUAUUUAUUUAUUCAUUUUUAUUACAACGUUACGACUAAACGACGUCAUUUUCAUUAAACGGCAAGUCGUUUCAGUCGUCUUCUUUAACGGAAUAAAAAAUAUCUAAACCGAAGACCAAUGUUUCCAAACCCGCUAUAAACCCUACAGAUAACCCUCAUUGCCACUCGCAUCACUGAGUUCUUAACCUGAGUUAAAAUGGCCGAGUCCGCAACCGAACUCAGUGAGUCCCGGGUUCUUCCGGCGGACUCACCGCCACCACAACCGAAUUCAACCGGAGUUCCGGUUCAUAAUCUAACGCCAGAGGAGCUCGUGGCCAAAGCCAUAGCUCCAGUUAAGAAACAGUUCCUUCGUCCUCCGCCGACAAGAGCCAAUCAAAACGACACCGUUAAAUAUACCAACGAGAGGUCAUCUCAGCAGCACUCGUCAACCUUAGUCAAGGAAAAGAAAUCAAAACGGCAACUCAAACGUGAACGUCAACAGGUUAUUUUCUUUCCCUGUCUCGAAAGACAAGUUUUUUUUUUUUUUUUUGGGGGCUUAAAGAUGCAAUUUUUAUUUUUCCAAACCUAUCUGAAUCGUCCGUUGCAAUGAGUCACAGAAAAUGAAUUGUUGAGAUUUCAUCAUUGUUGGAAAUGUUGGUAACUAAAUGUUUUUAAGUAUAAGCUGGUGUUUAAUUUUUGAAGGAAGAGCUUUAUUUGUUGUUAAAUUUGCAGGAAAAAAAAUCUGCUAGUCAUCUUUGUCCUGAAGUAGCUAAGAGUGGAGAUGUUAGUUCGUGCCCUUAUAAAGAUAAGUGCCGAUUCAGCCAUGACUUAGAUGGCUUCAAGGCUCAGGUAUCAAGGCACCCAAAUGAGUUUUUUUGCUUUUCUAAUAUAUUAUGUUUGUUCAGUAGAGUGAUGAUGGUUUAUUUGUUUAAUACAUGUAGAAACCGGAUGAUCUAGAAGGUGAAUGCCCGUUUUUGAGUUCUGAAGGGCCGUGUCCUUAUGGUUUGGCCUGCAGAUUUUCGGGUACUCAUAGAGAUGUUGUUGAUGUUGCUGGUUCUACAAACACGCUGCGGAAAAGCUCUGAGGUGAAUGGUUUGAACAAAGAUGUGCAGAAACUUUUGUGGAAGAAUAAAAUGAAAUUCCCAAAAGCUGAUGCCAAACUCAAAUCUCUUGGGCUUCUGGUAUGGAAUUGUAUCUCUCUUUUGUUUGUGUUUUGUCUUCAUCUCAAUCUCAUUCUAUUAAUAGUUUAAUACAGUUUCUCUGGUAUUACUCUCUAUUGUAUCAUUUUGAUUCAUCAUUUAAUUCCGUUGGUCAUGUUGGUGCUGUACUGUGAUUUUGCAGGGUCCGGCCAAGUCGAAAAUGAAAGUGAUGGAAGAUAAAGAGCAAGAAGGUGUAGUUGAUUCUAAUAAUUCUCAUGCUACCAACGGAAAUGGUUGCAUGAAAGGAACUGGUGACUCAGUGGAUGAAUCUGAAUGCUCACCCUGUGUUCCAGAAGAGAAUAAUAUUGUCAAUGAUAGGCCAUUGAAGAAAGCAAAAUCUGAAAAUGUUGAAAAUUGUUGCUCUGUUGAAGGGGACAAUGGUUGGUUUUACUUGUAAUAGUCUGAAGUAUAAUCAGUGUUAGUGCCUAGUUGUCAUACAUCAAGUUGUUUCUAACUUGUUUCAAAUUAUUGAAGCAGGUGUGAGUGUAUUGGAGGAAGAUACUAGGAAUAACACUGCAGAUACUCAACCAGCAGCUAAAAUUGAUGAUAUACUCCCUGAAACUGAUGGAAGUUUAAAAACACAUUCUCGUGAAAAGAAGCUUAUUGAUUUUAGAGAAAAGCUUUAUCUUGCACCUCUGACCACUGUUGGGAAUCUUCCUUUCCGAAGGGUUUGCAAAGUACUGGGAGCAGAUGUAACAUGCGGUGAAAUGGCAAUGUGUACAAAUCUUUUGCAGGUCCAUGUGCUGCUUUUGUCAAUUGAGUUACAUAAAUUAUGACAGUCUAUGGUGCAGGAGAUGUUGUUCCUUUCUGUGAUCUUAAUGAGUGUGCGGCAUCUUAAACACAAACCAUUGUUCAUACUCUGAAAUUAAGAUAUAUUUCUCUACAUGGUUUAAAUUUGUUAUUCUUCAGCUAGCAGUAAACAGUACAUAUUUUUAUAUCUGCUUAAAAUAUUCUGGGCUUAUACAUGUUCUCUGUAUAUAAUAUGCCAUAUAUGCAAGAUAUUUAAGCAUGAUGCAUUGUCCCAGUAUCUGUAAUCUGUCAUUUUCAGUUUUUAGUUUGGGAACUGGAUUCAUAUGAUCUUUUCCCUUCUUUUUCUUUCCUCUAUGGAGAUGUUAUCACUGGUUUUGUGCUCUGUUUUUUUUUUUAAUAGGUAAACUUAACAUUCUUUAUAUUUGGUGCUGCUUUUAUGACUUUCCAUGUCUCAUUUCCUGACUAUCAUAUUGUUCUGGGAAUAGGGACAAGCUUCAGAAUGGGCUCUGCUGAGACGACAUUCAUCAGAAGAUUUGUUUGGUGUACAGAUAUGUGGGGCAUACCCAGACACUCUGGCACGCACAGUUGAACUUAUUGAUCAGCAAUGCACAGUGGACUUCAUUGAUAUUAACAUGGGCUGUCCAAUUGACAUUGUUGUUAACAAGGGUGCUGGGUCUUGUCUUCUUACAAAGCCAAUGCGGAUGAAAGGCAUUAUUGAAGCUACUUCUGGUACAGUGGACAAACCUAUAACUAUUAAGGUACGUGGAAAAAAUUUUAUUUGAUCUUCUAUGCAGAUAAAGGUGCGCUUCACUCUGCUGCUUAGCAUUUUUUCAACAGGAAGAUAUUUGAAUACUUUGUGGUGGUUUUGGAUUAUUAUGUGCCUGUGAUAGUCAAUUAAUUCUUCUGCAUCUGCAGAAUACCAUAUCCUCUGCUUUCACUUUUUCUCUUUCCCCGACAUCAUGCCACAAUAGGAAGAUGCAUAAUGUCACAAUCCUGUUUUACACUAGGUGCGAACUGGCUAUUUUGAAGGAAAAAACCGCAUUGAUUCUUUAAUAGCAGAUAUAGGCACUUGGGGAGCCAGUGCGGUGACAGUACAUGGUCGGACACGUCAGCAACGCUAUAGCAAGCUUGCUGAUUGGGACUACAUAUACCAAUGUGCAAGAAAGGCCUCUGAUGAUCUGCAAGUUCUUGGAAAUGGUGAUAUUUAUUCAUAUUUAGACUGGAACAAGCAUAAAUCUGACUGCCCUGAGCUCGCUUCCUGUAUGAUUGCUCGAGGAGCCCUAAUUAAGGUGUGUAUAUUUGAUUUGUAUUUGACCAUCUAUUUUCCAGUAUGAGCUAAUAUUAUUAACAAACUUCUCAGUUGUUGAAACGUAUGUCCUUGCAUGCUUAUACACUUAUUCUAUUGAAGUCAAGAUGCUUGUGAAUAAUUUGUAUUGUGCCUGGCAGCCUUGGAUAUUCACUGAAAUAAAGGAGCUGAGGCACUGGGACAUCACUUCUGGCGAACGUUUAAAUAUUAUGAAGGAUUUUGCACGGUUUGGCCUUGAACAUUGGGGAUCUGACAAGAAAGGUAUGUGAUAGUUCAUUUCUAAAAAUUAAAGUUACAGAUGAACUGCAAAUAUUUUUCAUAUCAAUGCUUUUUAGUUUUAUUUACGUGGUUAAUACUUGUGGAAACUCUCAGUAGUAGUUGCCUUGUGAAUGAAAAGAGUCUUCUCAUUCUUACCUAAACUUGUCUUUAUUAUUUCAUAAUUGUGGUGGUGCUAUUAAUAUUAUCGUUUGAACUUUUCACUAAUUUAUAGCAACUCAUAAGUUAGUUCAUUUGCUUUAUUUUUAACUAUUCAAUACAGUUUAAAGCUGUCUGAAAUGUUUUGGACUUGUGUUAUUGUCUAAAAUGUGAUUUUUCAUGGGUUCUUAAUUUGCGUCUCCUUGCAGGAGUGGAAACAACUAGGCAUUUCUUAUUGGAAUGGCUUAGCUACACUUGCAGAUACAUACCUGUUGGCCUUUUAGAUGUCAUCCCACAAAGACUGAACUGGCGUCCACCUGCCUACUAUGGUCGUGACGACCUUGAGACACUGAUGGCCUCUGAUUCUGCAGCUGACUGGGUAUGCUAUUGUUUUCUAUUCCAAUACGGCUCAUAUUAUUACCAAUACUUAGGUGGAAAACAAUAUAGUUGUAUUAAAUUUCUUCUUUUCUGCAGAUUCGAAUAUCUGAGAUGUUGCUUGGCAAGGUGCCUGAUGGUUUCACAUUUGCACCGAAGCACAAAUCCAAUGCAUAUGACCGAGCAGAAAAUGGCUAAGUUUUUUGUGCUGUUCAUCCUUUGCUCAUGGAUGAAUUUUGAUUGUGGGUUCGGCGGAAUAAAAAUGCUGUUAAGAUCCAUUUCGUAUUUCAGUUCAAGUCAAUUCUGUAUGCUGGAUCCCGGUGAUGACAUACUAAUUAGGCAAUUUUGAUCACAUUUUGUUAUUGAGGAAAUCAAAACGUCGAUUAUUUUCAUUGCUAAUAAUGUUAAAGAGGGGAAGCGGGGUUGCCACUUGUCAUUUUCGAUGAAUUUUGUGGCUAUUGACUUAAUUGAAGUGUACAAUUUCAUAUCUUUGAAGAAAUGAAUUUUUUUUGGUAGAUAUCUGAUCUAGUUUACUUGGCUACUUCCUGAACUGGGACUUCGCGAAACUAAUCCAUUUUUCACUCUCUUCCCCAUAUCUUGCAGUAGACUUAGUUCUGCUACCACUGUCAUAUUUUUCGUAAUAUUUUCAAAAUUUUUGUUUACGUCUCUCAACUUUUGCUCUAUAUAUUCUAAGUUGAGGAAUAAAUAUGUAAAAAGUUGUUGAAUGAUAACAUAAACUUGCCAUGAUUGUAAUAUGCUAUAAUUGUAUUAAAAAAAUAUUGUAAUAAUUGUAAGAUAUUUACAUGCAAUUCCAUAUAUUCAAAUUGCUCAAUAAAUUCACAGGUUACUACCGUCUGGAACAAAAAGAGAACUAAAAGGCCCAAAUAUUUGAAAGGAACUUUGCAGAAACACAAAUUUUACUUUGAUUUAUAACCUUAAUCAUGUGUUCAAAAUUACAACAUGCUCCAAUCAAAAUUGAUUUGCAGUGAACAUACUGCUUCUUUCUCCUUUAAACAAAAUGCAACAACUUCUGAAAAAACACUAACCGACUACAUAGAGGCUGCAGCAUACAACACUGAUCUUUCGUAUAAAUAAAGAUGAUCUCUCCCUUCUGCACAAAUCACCUUCAAAGAUCGUAAGGUGACAGGCUGUUUUGUUUCUCCUUUAAACAAUGGCAUUGCCUCUUUCUUCUCCCAUUUGCAUAUACAAGUGUUUAGAUUGCUAUUUCCUCGAAAGUUUCUCCUCUCUUCCUUCUUCAUCCAAUAGACUUGUAGCAUAAAAAAUGAAGUUGAUUCAAUGUUAAAGCGACGCUUUCCAGCAUUACAAAGCAACUUACUGUCUCCAGGUGGACUACAAAUACAAUGAUGCUGCAAACACAAUGUCUCUUUUAAUCUUGGAAACAGCCUCUUCAAAUUUUGCUUCGAGCUCAGUUUCCCCAAUGGACUUUGCCGCUAGUAUAAGUUGUUGAAGAACUUCCUCAAGUCUCCUGAUUGCCCUGAUCAAGCUACCCUCAAAGACUGGCGUAAUUUCCAUGAUCUCAUAAAAUUUGGAUCCUUUUGCCCAAGCAUAAACAGCCUCCAUGAUAUCAGGCCGAAAUGAAUUCACAAAACCCUCCACAUCGAUUUGAACCUGAAAUAAUAAAAGAAAACAAGAAACACAUACUAUCAGCCACUUAAAGAUGAAUUAGGUAUGUCCAUCUUUAUUGAAACACAAAAGCCGAAUCCACUUGUGCAGGACCUCCCAUAAUAUGCCAAACUUUGCCUACAUGAAUAUCAAGAUAUAAAUAGCUGUACUUUUCAAUCAUUACCAAUAAAGUUUACAGAUACAUCAAAUCUAAAGUCUCCGACAACUUUUCAGUGCCUUUUUGCAGCAAAGAAGGUUGAACUAUGGGUACUUUUUAAUUUCUUUUAUGCAACUUUGAGAACUGAACAAAGAAAUCAUGAUUUGUGGAAUCAACAUUCUCCAACCAUGAGAAGUAAUGCCGACAGUUGUGGCUACCUAUACAAAAAUAAGUUUCCACUCUUUUUUAGUGCAACAUUUAAUCAGUUGUACUAAAGAUACGCUUGCGAAUUUAGAUUGAGGUACUGAGACUUUUAACCCAUGAGCUGUAAGAAUGGAAUCACUUCUUGUUAAGUAUAAAUAGAUGAGUGAGCGGUAAACAUUGGUUACAAAGUAAAAGUGAGCGUUGACCCAACACUCGCUGCUGUAAUUUCAAAAUUAACAGGAGCACAAGUACACACAUGCCCUAAGUUUGUGAUAAUGCACUAUGGUACUACAAUAAUUUAAAUUUAAAAUUGGUAUACAAGCAACUAUGAUAACAUAAGAAUGAUCAUUGUCAUGCUUUAUAUCAUGCUAAAAGAUAGUUUUGACCAAUCCGUCUUACCAGUCCAAUUUGCAUUAGAUAUCCAAAAGGACAACUGUGAGUGCAAUAUUUUUUAUCAAAACAAAUGACAACAAUAAUAUGCCUAAAAUCCAAAGAAGCAAUUUGUGAACAUGAAAGAUUGGAUAAAAAGCUAUCAGCAAUAAGUUCCAUAAGUACCUUGCACUCCAACUGAACUUUGGCAACUCUCCUAGCUGUAUCUUGCAAUUGCGUAAAUAGCAAUUCAAGUUCUUCCCUGGGCUUUGAAGCAUCUUGGAGCUUCUCUUGCCACACAAAACAAGAGAGAAGAGACACCAUUUCUUCUACCUUUACAUCUUUCAGAACUCCAUUGAAUAUGAGCUCUGUUAGGGUGAGCUCCUCAGCACUACUGAUCUCACAAGCAACUUUUCCUUUCAAUUCUACAACAUCAUCACUUGUAGCAUAUCUGGAACAAGAUUCACAUCAUCACUAGGUAAUUCUAGACUUGCAUUGACAACAUAAAAAAGCUUAUAAACAUAGCCAUUUAAUAACAUGAACCUAACAAAAACUUGAUGAUUCCUUUUUUUAAUGCUAAUAAUCAUAUAUGAAGCAUUGUUCUAUGGGACUAAUAAAUUCCCAGCUUUAUCCAAAAAAAUAAUAAUAAUAAUAAUAAUAGUAAUAUAAAAUUCCCAGCAAAUUUUCUCUACUGGUAGCUGUUUUUUGAGUUAAUGCUAACACAAACAAUUAUAAAGCUGCAAACAAUAUAAUGAAAUAGGCCUUGGACUGAUAAAACAGUAUGGAGCACUGCAAUUCCAAGUGUACCACUAUCACAACCUAGAAAGAAAUGAAAAUGGCCCCGGAUGAGAGUAAAUACAUGUUGAAGGAAGAUUUUUCCACUUAGUGUUAUUUCAAUGUAUGUGAGUUAUGAAACAUGUCAGAAGAAAUUCUAGCACCCUCGCUAACUCAGCUGUCAAGCACAAACCAGGCAGACACCAAAGAAAGAAUGAACUAUUUUGAAGAUAAAUAUAUGAAAAAGCUUCAUUACCCUAGCCUUCGGAGAACUCGUUUUCUUGCCUUAAGCUCAUCUUUAAAUGCCAAUUCAGUAGAAGAACGCAUCUGUCUCUUAAUUGACUUGAUCUUGGCCGUCAAUUCUUGCUUCAUGUGCAACACUUUGAGCUUUUGCUCAAUAAGCGGAGACUUUGAAAUUUCAUGCUUGUCAAAUAGGCUCUCUAAAGCCUCUAUUCUACGGACCAGCUUCUGAUAUGAACUACUUCGUAUCUGACAAAUAACAAAAACUGAGUAAAGGUGACUUUUAAAGAUAGCAAAAUGAUUUGCAAAAGCGAGGUACAGUAUAUACCCCCAUGUUUGCUUCAGGAUCUAGAGGCAGUCCGCUAGCAUUUCUAGCAAGAAAUUCAGAUGUUGACUUCAGCAUGUUCUCUCGAGUUUGCAAAGGCAAGAGAUCCUUUGGCAUAGGCAACCGAGCGCUACUUAAUUUAAUGAUCUGUACAAGACAGACGAUAGCACAUAAAUUCUUUAUUCUCUAGAUCACAACUUAGUUUCACUAAGAUGGACCAACAAAGUAAAAAGCAUCACAAAACAAAAGCUCUUCCAAGCUCAUGCUUUUGCUUGAAUAGAAUUAUUAUCAGUUCAUUUGUGUCAGACCAGGAAAUCAAGACCAAUUUUCUAAAGCAAAAAGAGCAAUUUAACAUUUUUCACUACCAAAAGUAAAUAUUCAUAUGAAGACUAAAAUUGAACACUGUUUUAAAAGUAUUUCAAGAAAAUUCGGCCUUCAGUUAUCUUGCUACAAAUUGAAUUUCCUUUUUUGCUUUCUUCUUCUACUACCAAACAUCAGAACAAAGAGAUAGAUGUAGGUAACUAAAGAAAAUAUACUGACAAGACAUUACCAUACAAACAUUAAAUACAAAUGUGGGAUGUAAAAUCAAAAGUUAGGACAAGGGGGAACCAGCUGCAGAGUAUGUAUUAACAGAAGAAAAGCAUCAGAAAUAUUGCCUGAGAGAUAGGAACAGAUACGACAAGAGGUUCCCCAGACUCCUUCAACGGAACAAUUUUCAAUGUUUUCUUCCCAGCUCCAUCUUUGCUAACCACACAUCUUGUAAGGAUAUUCACUGUGUAAUUGGAAUCUUCUGGUUUUUUAUUGGCAUCAUCUGUAUCAUGCAUUCACCACCAAAUAACUAACAAGCUUAAAUUGUCAGGGCACCACUUAAUACAAAUAAAGAUGAGUUCUCACCUUCAUAAACACCUUUCACCUUCUCAAAUUCAAUAACCACUCCCCAUGUAACCUGAUGAUCCUCAGUGGAGAAAGAUGGAGAGUUGUCAUCACCCCUGGUGCAUUCAAUACAAACAAACCUGCCAGGUUGCAGAAAGGGUAAGCAGUACUUUGGAGAGAACACAAUAUCACGAACAUCUUUCUUCAAACUUUUGUAUUGCUGUAGCAAAUUAUAAUAAUUCUUCAAACUAUCUUCCUCUUCAAUUACCAUUGAAUCCCUCUCCUCUUCAAGGACCUUUGCUUGUUUCUGCAAAUUAACAUAUUUUACGAGAUUAAUAAAUAAAUGCUUCAAUGUUUACUGCAGUCUAAAGUUAAAAAGACAGAAAAUAUAUCUUGGGGAAGGAGUUAAAUUUCAUAUUCAUCACAAAACAUUCCUUUUAUUUUUUAUUUUGAGCUGAAAUAACAUGAGACUCAUAUUUGUAUGUAUUCCCUUCUUAUAACCUUUGUCCUAUUAAAAAAAUAAGGCAAGCUCCUAUAAAAUGUUUGCUCUAUCACUUGUCUAGUUAUCUCAUACAUCAGCUUCUUAUGUUUCACAUCCUUCCAAGAAGGUUUCUAUCAUCCCAUUAUCCUAUUUUUGUACCUUUCAAUAAAAUUCAAGUUUGGUUUUUUCAUCUUUUACAUUAACUCUUUGAAUUGAAUGUUAUGGCUUUUCCACCAUACCAGCAGCAUGUCCUAUCCUCCACACACCCUCUUCUUUAGCUGUCCCUUCACAUAAUUAAUGUUCAAGGAUUUUCAACAAUCUAUCAUUCACUAUAAAAAAUCUAUUGUUUUCAAAAUCCUAAACAAAUUGGUCCUCCACUCCAACAAAUGCAAAAGCAAGGCUGGGAAACUACCAACCACCAAGUAUUACUCCAUCUUGAGUUGUUCUGCUGACUCAUGUUUAAGAAAACAGUAAUACGUGCGCAUUUGCUUGUGUAGCCAGCACUUGCACAGUAAAAGUAGGGAAACCACCAACCGGCAGAAAGUUUAUACCACCUCGGAACAAUGCCAGUCACCCAACCAGAAUGAAGAACUAGGAACUCUAAUAUAGGUAGGGAUGGCAAAAAUCCCCACCGGGACGGGUACCCUCGGGGAUUUUCCCCAUUCGGGGAGGGUAUGGGGAUAAUUUCAUACCCAAUUUCUUAUUCGGGGAGGGGACGGGGAUGAGGUGGAAUCCCCAUCCCCUACCCAUUUCCCCAUUUUAAUUUUUAAUUUAAUUUUUAUUUUUUGAAAUUACUAGUAAAUAAAUAAUAAAAUUUGAAUUAUAAAAUUAUAAGUAUUGGUAAAAAUAAAAAAUAUCAACAUAUUUAUAUUAUUAAACUUUUAGGCCUAAUUAACUAAUUAAAGUCCUAAAUUUUUAUUUAGGACAUUAAAAAGACCGGACAGAUUCUAUUAGCCCAAAACUUUUAUUUUAAUUUUAAUAUUCAUUAAAUAUUUUAAACUUAAAUCUAUUUUUUAUUUAUCUUAAAUUUAUUUUUAUUUAUUUUUAGAUGUUAUAAUCGCCCACAGCAAAUCACAAUUUUAAUAUAUAAUCUAAUCUAAUAUUUGCUCUUGAUUUGCUUCAACUUAACUAUUGUACUGUAAAGGGAAUAGUCCACAUUUAUAAAGUGCCCACGCCACCAUUAAAAAGUUAAUUUUGAAUCUAAAUUUGAUUUUAUUUGUAACAAUUUUGUAUUAGGCUAUUAAUUUGUUCAUGAUAGUUUGUAUCCCUUGCAUGCUGCGUUACUUACUAAUUUAAUGUAUGUGACUUUUGUAAUGGUUAUUAAUGUAAGAUAUAUUUCGAACUUUACUUUUAUUUGAAUUUUUUAUUUUAAUAUGAUUAACUCAAAAUCGAAAAUAAAAAAAUGUAUUAGUUAUUCAGGGAUCGGGGACUCUCGGGGAUCCCCUGUUAUUAUUCGGGGAGGGGAUGAGGAUUCUCUUAAAUAAUUUUGACGGGGAUGGGGAGGGGACGGGGACAUACGCAAAAUAUCGGGGAUGGGUAGGGGGAGAUUGGUCCCUCCCCUCCCCUCCCCAUUGCCAUCCCUAAAUAUAGGUCCAAGGAAAAGAAAACACAAUAGACCGUGAUCACUAACCAAACAAAGUUUUAUAAAAAGUAGUCAAGAACUGAUUUACUACUUCUGGAAACAAAUAUGUUCAAAAUCAGAAACAAGCAUAUAAGCGACAAAUUUAAGGACACUUUUAAUAUAAACAGACCUCAAGAUCAGGGAUGGCGUGGUCAGCUUGAAACUGAUAGAAUGAAUUACGUAGCAAAUUUUCAGGACUCCCCUCUUCACAGCGGAUUUGAUUCAAAAGCAUGUUGUAGCUUAGAUGAAAGGCACUGGAAAGAAUUGAAAAAAAAUAUAUCAGUAGAAGAGACAAAAAAUAGACCAUAAGCUUAAAAAAGAAAUACUACACCCAGAUUAUCGUAAGCUUAUCUAAGCGUGCACAAGAAGUGAAAUAUGCCUAUGAUGGACUGGAGAUUGAAGUUAAAAAAAGUAUGGGGAAAAUAUAGGAAUAUAAGCAGAUUCGUAUGUGGUUACACUAGAUGGAGCACUAGGUUUCUGAAUAAUCACUUCACUUCUAACAGAGUAUUGAAACAGCCUCCCACUUCGACAAAGUUGAAUCUUCUACACCAAGGAUUUAUUUUUAGAUCAGACACCCUGAACAGACAGCGUAGAGGCUUAGACAAUGGUAAUGUACCUGUUCAAACUGUCAGCACUUCCUUUAAGCAUCAUUUUAGCAGUAGAAGGUUCCAUUUUGUCAUCAACCAUGAGGAUACAUAUCCCGCGUUCAUCAAUGCCACGACGACCAGCACGGCCACUCAUCUGUAUGUACUCUCCACUAGAUAUCCAUCUAAACUUGUCACCAUCAAACUUACGCACAUUUGUAAACACAACAGUUUUUGCAGGCAUGUUCAAACCUAUGCUGAAGGUCUCUGUGGCAAACAAACACUAAAGAAAAAAUUUCAGUCCUCUUGGAACUUCAAAUAGUUGGGAAAAUAAGUUAGAAUUGGAGAUGAAAGAGCUAAACUUAUUAUUCUACAUGGAAACAUUAUUCUUAUAGCUAAGAAUAAAUUUAAAUCUUCAUAUGAGUAAUUAAUUUAAGGUAGGAAGUCCAGAAAAUAUAAGUCAAACUUCAGCUUUCUUAUUCAACAUUAAUAUUACACACUAGUCAUUGGUGUUUGGAGAAGAACAGGAUCAACAACCAGAUAAAAUCAAAUUGGAAAAAGGUUAAGAAUGGAAAAAGUGACAUCCAAAUUGCUAUGAAUAUUUAACAACCCAAGAAUAUCUAAUUCUAAACCACUCAAGUUAAAUAAAAUAAAUCAAUACCCGUCACCACUCUCUAAGCAUGCUAAAAAUCUAUAGCUGUCACCCAAGUAAAUACAUAGUUUGCUACCAACCUUAAUUAAUCCUUCUUGAAAUAAUAUCUCAAUCACUUCCUUCAAUAUAGGAAGCAAGCCAGAAUGAUGCACACCUAUUCCACGUUUCAAUAGUGGUAAAAUAUUUGAAACCUGUUGACAAGAAUAGAGGCAUAAUAAUUUAUUAAAAAAAAGUAGAAUAUUUAUGUAUAUACAACAAAAAUGCAACUUUGGGCUCAAUAAAGAAUUAUAUCUGUGAUCAUAACACAAUAUGCACAGAAGUUGUAGUACAUAGAAAGCAAUGCCAAAUCACAGACAAAGCACAGGUUGAAUCUAGAACAUUAAAUCUCACUUUGUGAAAGAAUAGCUGGAUCACCUGCGUUAUCCAGUUGAUAUAUCAAUUUGAAGUCUAAAAAUCAUCUAAAUGAGGUGGGGAAGCAAUGAGGAAUACUGAGACUUAUAUUUAAAAAGCAAAUGGAAUAAAUUCUCAGUCGCUAGCCAAGGAACAAGUUCAACCUCCAAAAAGAAAAGUAUGAACAGAACUUUUUUCUUCCCCUUCUCUGUUUUGGCUGUCUUUUUACCUGCAGCAGGAGAGUCACACACACACACACACACAGAGACACAGAGAGAGAGAGAGAGAGAAUGCAGAACCAAAGUAAAGCAAGUAACAGAAGAAAGAAACAGUAAUAUGACAAAGGAAAGCAACCCAAACCAUCUCAGCCUGAACAAGUGUUAAAGAGACAAAUCUUUACAAGUCACAUAUUCCAACCAAAAUGAGGCACCAUAUACACUCAAGCAGGCACAAAACAUAUACAACCAAAAACUUGCCUGAGGUAGCUUCUUGUCAUCAUCUGAAAGCAUGUCCAUGGCACUCCAAAAGAUAGUCUCUAUGUUCACUUUCUCAUCGUCUUCUGUAAGAUCCAAUUUUGCCAUCUAUAACAGACGAGAAAAUGAAACCCAUAUUUUCAUAUUUGCAAAAGAGCAAUGAUGGCCUUACUGGAAGGGAACGGUAUGCUUAGCAGCUUAAAGUGCAUCGAAAAAUAAAUUGAUCAAUAAGGUUCUUUUUUGGCAUCUUUAUGGGUGUAUGAUACUAAAAAUUUUAGUUUCCAUUUUAAUUUGAUGAUACUUUUUUGCUCAAGCUGGGAUGUCUAUAUAAAUUAUAGAGUUGGCAAAAUGGGUCAUUGGGUCGUGUUCAUGUCAUGUCAGAUUCGUGUCGUGUCAAAUUUAGAUCAACCCAAACACGACUCAUUUAGUAAUCGUGUCAAAAUAUUGAGACCCAAACCCAACACGGAAAAUAAACGGGUUACCCAAAAACCCGCUUAAUAACUAUAUGUUUAACAAAAUUUACAUUAAACACACACGCACACAACUUAUUGAUACUAUGAAGCAUACAUAUCUACCAAAAUAUUACACAUUUUAUACUAUUGAAGUUUUAAUUAUAUAUAUGUAAAUAGUAUAAUAUAUCAAUAUUAUAAAAAUAUACGUCUAAUAACAUUUUACAUAUUUAUACCACUAGAAUUCUAAAUCUAAAUAAAAUUUUAUAAAUGAAAUCCUGUAUAUACGUUAAUCCUUAAAAAAAAAAAAUAAAUAAAAAUAGAGAAUCAUGUCUAAUAUUUGAAUUUUGAUGACAAGAACCUACAAAUUAAUUUAGAAUAAAAAAUAUAAUUGUGUCAUUGAUCAGGUAAAUGGGUUAAGAACUUUAACCCUAAACCGACGCGAAACAAAUCGUGUCGACCCGGACCCAACCCAUUUAAUAAUUGUGUCAAAUUUGACUACCCACACCCAUUUAUUCGUGUCGUUUUUGUGUUGAGUAAUUGGGUCAUAUCAAAUUUUGUACUGCUAGUUUGUGUAAAUAUUCUGGCGGACAACUGAUUUAUCUUAUUUUUGGGUCUUCAUUUAGAUAGAAAUAAAAUUGUGUUCUAUGUGAUCUUUUUUUUCCCUUCAAAGCAUAAAGGCAAAUAGAAAUAGAUAAAUGAUUGCAAUAUUUCUCUGGAUAAGACUCCUAACUAUCCAUAUAAAUCAAGCGAAAUAGGCACCUAGAUUUCUAAUCACUCACAACAUAAGGACAUGGGUAGCAGGUAUAAAUCAUCACACCAAAUAGGCACCCAAUUGCUAAUAACUCACAACAUAAGGACAUGGGUAGCAGGGUGUAAAUGCCUAUUCAACAUAGAAGUUCUUCAAUAACUAAAAAUAUUGACCAAGCUAACUGUAGCAAGGGCUCAAAUAUAGGUGAGCAUGCAACAGAAUCCCCACUCCCCCCAGUUCCUGGAAGAAAGACAGCAACUUUUAAACCAACAAGGGCAACUAACCUGCAUUGCAAGAAAUUCACAUUCCCUUUUGCUAAAGCUGAAAAUUAUGACAGGAUCAUAUUGACGCUGAAUGAUCAUUUUCACCAUCUUGAAAAUAUCACUCUCUUCUCCAAGUUUGCCUGCCACCAAACCUUUAUGCCGUUUUCCAUUUUCUCUUUUCUUUUCACCCUCACCAGCAGGAACUAGUGCAUUUAAAGCUUUGUGAAAGCUGUCCUCACGAAAUUUACCCUUUUCAUCCACCACCAAGUAUAGUCCACUACCACCAGCAGGGAAAAUGUAGUGUUGAAGGGGUGUUGGGCGAUAAUCAGUAUAAACAAUAUGACAUGGUUGCUGGUGAACCUGUAAACAUAACCACAAAAGUAAGAAGGCAUAAUCUUUUUAUAAGAAACUCAAAAAUCGGCAUGGUGCGAGUAAAACACCUUUGCAACCCAAUCAGCAAACUCCUUUGCAUUGGGCACAGUAGCGGAGAGGAACACAAAUCGGGAGUUCUUUGGAGCCAUCACAAUGCUCUCUUCCCAUACCACACCUCUCUCACGAUCCCGCAUGUAAUGUACCUCAUCAAAUAUAACCCAAGCCACUUCACGCGUAAUCUCUGAGCCUUUGUACUGCAUACUACGCCAGAUUUCAGUAGUCAUCACCUGAAAUUAAACUUCAUAUAAGCAAUCCACAAAUCAAAGCGCUGCAACACCCAAAAGAUGACACUACCAAGUUGACCUACCAAACAAGAAGCAUUAGGGUCAAUUGUGACAUCCCCAGUCAUCAAACCGACAUCUGAAAACUCUUCUUUAAACUCCCUGUACUUCUGAUUGCUGAGUGCCUUAAUCGGUGAAGUAUAUAUCACACGUUGCUUAUUCCGCAACGACAUAGCAAUAGCAUACAAUGCUACCACAGUCUUCCCAGCAGAUGUAUGGGCCGAUACCUGUCAAAUAAAUGAAAGGCAAACCCGAUUUUUUUAAUAAAAAAAAAGAGAAAAAAAACUAUUUUUAUUUUUCACACAAGAUAACACUUAAUGCAAAAAUUAUUAUCAGUGAGCUGAAAAGCAGAGCGCUUUGUACGAAAGCACUUCCAAAUUCAAAUUACAUCUUUUACAAAAAAUUAGAGCCUUAUACAUGUGUGUGUGCGCGCGGGCGCGCGUUCGUGUAUAUAAUAAUAAUAAUAAAAAACGAACCAUAACGGACUCGCCGUUGUCGAGGCACUUGAUAGCUUCGGACUGGAAUGGGUCGAGAGUGAAAGGGAAUUCCUUAGCAGGUUUGGCGUCAGCUUCAGCGGCAGCUGCUCCAGUUGAAGAAGAAGAAGGCACGUAACCGGGGGGAAACGACACGUCGUGUAGACAAGCAACUGGCUCAUCGUCGUUAACAAUCAUUGUCCCGUUGCCGUUCGAAUUCUGCAUUGGUUGAGGAGUCUCGUACGAGUCUUCCAUUAUUGACUUUCUCUUCAACGAUGCCAUGGUUCUUCUUAUUAUCUGGCUGUUUGCUAACAAUAGUAAAUACUGAAAAUAAGAAACCCUAGGGACAAAGAGGUAAUUUUCUGAUUGAAAGAGAAGGGGACCUCACUUCCUCUUCUUGCUACCACAGACGGUGGUUGUUUAGGCGGCUACUAACGAGUGCUGAAGAGACGACAAUCAUAAAAUUUCACGGCUUUUAUACUCCCAUUAAAACGGGGCGUUUUUAUGAGUCAUGAGGUGGGAUCGGAACCAAGACGCACUAAACAUAAAACGCGGCGUUUCAUGGACUAGUACAUUCCAUGCUUCGAAAGUUUAUGUUCGAUACUUUGAUGGAUUGGUCUGAUACAUUAUUUGCUUAUUGUGUUUUUCUGGCUUAAAUAUUAUGUUGGAUUGAUAGGUUUUGUACACAUUUAUAGCGCUCGCAGUAAAUAAUUUAUUACAUUUAAAAAUUAUCAACCGUCUAUCAAAAGAUUUUCACUAUAAAUAUAAUAUAUAUAUAUAUAUAUACACGAAAAAAACUUUUAAUUUGGUCAAUUUGUUCUCUUAUUUAUAUUUGUUCUGUUUCUCUUUUUCUUUCAUUUCAUUUUAUUGUUUUAUGAUACAAAAAAAAAAAAACCUUAAAAUUUAAGGGUAAAAUACUCAUUUUACUAAAAUUCCGUUUAAUAUUAUAAGAGCAUCACCAAAAGGCUAUUGAAAUAAGAUUUUAUUACUUAUUUGAAGAUGCAUAUUAGUAUUUAAGGCUCUAAAAGACACUCCAAUUAAGAUUUUUCAAAUAAGAAAUAAUCAUCUCUCUUCAAAUUUAGAGAGUUAUUUUUUCCCUCUUUAAUUUAUAUUUUAUUACUUUUUGUUGGAGAAAGAAAGAGAGGUGAUUUAAUUACUAUUGACUUUUCUAUUAAAAAAAUAAUUAUUUAAUUAAAAUAAUAAUAACUUAUUUCUAUUUGAAAAGUCUUUUAAGAAUAAUAUAUUUUUUACUCUUUUAUUUGUCACAUAGGUAAGCAAAUAGAUAUUUGAAGAAUAAAAUUUAUAGUCUUUUGGAGAUACUCUAACGCUGUCAAUGGCAAAGUACGCGAGUGAUACAAAUUAAAAACAAACAAAUCAAACCCUGUGCACUGUCAUCCCUAAUUAUAUUUACCACUUCAUACUCGAGAGUGAUAAUAACUGUGUAUCACAGUUGACUUUGCAGACGGCUAAAAGUUCCAAGUCCGGAUGCUUGGUUAAUGAAAUUUGAUGAAAAGGGCAUGAAAGAAAAUAAGAAAUUAAAUAAUACAGGAGGUAUUAAUCAUUACAUCUUUAGUUGAUGAAAAUUGAUGAAAGGUAAUCCAAUAUUUCUGCAGACGUGAGCCGUAAUUAUGAUACCAUUAAGAAUGAAGCAGAAGAGUUUCCCCAAAAAAGUUAAAACGCGGCACUUGGAUUUAAAGAAUUAUUACAUCACAGUACCGAGACAAAAAAAGGUUAAUGCAACAACAUACAUUAAGUUAAUUCCAUAAUCUAUCGCCAAAGAAAGACAAACACAAGCUUAUAAGAUUAAAACUUUGGAAAACAUUAGAGUCGGACAAAAUUGUGCAAUCUUCAGAGUUUGGAGCCUAGUUCAUCCAGGAAAGCAAAAGAAAUAAUAAUAAUAAUAAUAGUGGUUUGAUCUCAAAAGGUGACAUCAAGGUGGUAACUUUGAGGUAUUGGAAGCUAUAACGUCUUCAACUUUGUCCUGAUUUUGAAGUCCCUUAACCCAUCCGCCAUCAAUGGAUUGAAUGCUUCCAUUCAACCCAUCAUCCACAAAAUCACCAACCCGUUUCACCUUCAUCUCCUUCGGCUUAACAGGGUACUUCCCAGAGAAGCAAGCAUAACAAAAAUUCUGAGAAUCAUCGCCCAACAACUUGUUCAGGCUGUCAAUUGGCAGAAAAGCAAGCGAGUCACACCCAAUAAACUCCCUGAUUUCCUCGACGCUCAUCCUGUUGGAAAUCAACUCCUCACUACUUGGGGUGUCCACUCCAUAGUAACAAGAAGCUAUGAUUGGUGGGCUUGCAAUUCUCAUGUGAACCUCUUUAGCUCCAGCCUCCUUAAGCAACCGAACAAUUUUCGAUGAAGUUGUUCCUCUCACUAUUGAAUCAUCCACAACCACAACUCUCUUUCCCUCCAACACUCCCCUUACAGGAGAGAGCUUAAGCUUGACACCAAAGUCCCUAAUUUUCUGGGACGGCUCAAUGAAAGUUCUCCCAACAUAGUGUGACCUUAUCAACCCUUGUUGAAAUGGUACCCCGGCUUUCGCAGCGUACCCAAGUGCAGCCACCACUCCAGAAUCUGGUACUGCAAUCACAACAUCACACUCAACAGGAGCCUCGGUAGCAAGUACUUCCCCAAAAUGAUACCUCGACUCAUAAACAGACCUACCAAAUACAACAGAAUUGGGCAAAGCAAAAUAAAUAUGCUCAAAGAUGCACUGCUUAGGUUCAGGGUGAGGCAUCAAACAAAGUGAUUGAACCCCAUCUUUAUCCACCAUCAAAACUUCACCGGGAUAUACCUCUCUCUCGUACGUGGCCUCAAUCAAAUCAAGUGCGCAAGUCUCUGAUGCAAAAACCACAGCACCAUUACUCCUCCUACCCAUCACCAACGGCCUAAACCCAUACGGGUCACGAACCGCAACAAGCUUAUCCUCAGUAACAAACACCAUUGAGUAAGCACCCUCAAGCUUCUCACAAGCAUCCACAAUCCUCAAAAAGAACGGCCUAGCUUUCGAUAUCGCAAUCAAAUGGAGAACAACCUCAGUAUCAGAACUAGUAUUAAAAAUGGAUCCAUUAUCUUCGAGCUUAGCCCUCAAAGUAUUAUAAUUAACUAAAUUCCCAUUAUGUGCAACACCAACAGAACCAAACCUGUACCCAGCAACAAAAGGCUGCACAUUCUUAAGCAUAGAACUACCCGCAGUCGAAUAUCUAACAUGACCAAUGGCCAUAUCACCCGGCAAUUGAUCAAGUUUAGACUGAUUAAAUACAUCAGAGACUAAACCAACACCAGUAAUAGACUGAAGAACUUUAUUAUUCACAGCAACUAUACCUGCACCUUCUUGGCCGCGAUGCUGCAUCGCGUGUAGCGCCAAAUAGCACAAACGCGAGGCCUCUGGGUCACCAUAGAUGCCCACAACACCACACUCCUCACGGGGCUUAUCGUCGUCAUCAUCAUCAAAACUGCCAAAACCGUCAUCUGGGUAUUCUUUAUUUGUGGUGAAAAACUCAGAGAUGGGGUUUUUUGAUAGAACAGUGAAGUUAUUUUUGUGGAUUAAAGAUUGUUGUUUCUGAGGAAAAAAAGGGUUUUUUUGCAGGGUUUUGGAGAAAAGAGAAAGAUAGGUUUUUGGCGACGGCUUAGGGUUAGCAGAGGGAGACGAGUUUGAGAGAGGGCAGAUGUUGGCGGUGCCUGUGGUUGUGGCUGCCAUUAAUGGCUGAAUUUAUUCUAUUUUAUUUUAUUUUUUGGGUUGCCUUGCUCAAAGAAAAAACAGAGGGGGUGUGUGGAGGGAGACAGUGGCGAAGGGUACUUUAAGUAGAGGGGAACUUGUUCUAGGUUUUUUUCUGGAAUUGUGAGGGAAUCUGAUCCUGUGUUUGUGCAUAUGAUUCAAUUACUUAUAGGUGAUACUGUUGUGUCACCACAAAUUCUAAUUGGGAAGCUUCAGCUGUCAAUUUUUUUCCAAGGGUUAAUUAGGUAGAACUUUCAUUUCGUCGAAUUUAUUUGGAGAUUCUAAAAGUAGUUUCCAAAUAGAGAGAUGGACCAAAAUCAACAAUGUGACACAGAUACUUUAGAUUUUUUUUCCUUGUGGGACACGAAAAUUGAUGCAUGCUCCAAUGCAUUGCUCUAUCAGAAUUGGAAUUAAACUUAGUUUGUAUUCUCCUAUUCCGAAAGCAAAACUUAUAAGUGAUAUUCUAAGAAGAAGAAAUUAAGAACCAUAACAAAUUUGAUGAUUCUAAUUUGCUAGAAUUAUUGGAAUCCAAAACUAAGAAAGUUAAAAUCAAUUAUUAGAAGAAAAAAGUAGGACGGAAGCUCCCAGAAUAUUGUUAUGUGUUGUAUGUUUUCAGUUUGUAUUUCCCAAUCAAUGAGGAAAAGUAAGUACACAUGUUACAAAAAUUUAAUAAAAAAAAUUGGAGGUGACAGAACCGUCAAUCUUCUAAUUAAUUUUCUCUCCUUUCAAAUUUCCUGAGUUUGGUAGAGACUGCUUAAGUGGUGUAUCUAUUAUAAACAUGCAAAACUAUAUUGCAACAAUAGUAUGGUACUAUUGUUGCAACCAGUCAUUGAAUUUAUAGUUGUACAGUUACAUUAGUAAGAUUCAAUGGCUGAAAGCAACAGUGGUACCGUACCACUGUUACAACAUAGCUAGACCCAUUAUAAACACCUGAAGUCAAAGUUAAUGUUUUAAUUGUUAAAAAAAGUUAGAAGAAGAAAUUUUUGUAUAAGAGAAUUGGGUUUAAAUUUAGAAUUCUUUGGGAGGAAAUGAGUCUAAAUUCCAAUAAUAUAAUUCAGCACUAUUUAUAUAUAUCAUUAGUUGGGUGAAAAAUUAAUUUCCCUCCUUUGAUGUGAUUUUCAUCAUUUAUUUUCAUAUGAUGGUAAUUUUUUGUUUAGAGUUAAGUUAUUGGCACCCUUUCAUUAUCCUUAUAAAAUCCUACUUCAAAUAAAAUUACACUUAAAGACAGUAGAAUUAAAUAACAUAGUUUUUUUUUCAAACAAAUUACUCACAUUCAUAAUUUUUUUUCUUCUAAUUUUCUACAGGUUGCUUUGUAUCUAACUAAAAUAAAUUGUACAAAUUUAGAAUAAUAUAUUAUUCUUUUUAAAUUUCUUAUUGAUUAAAUAUUUGUGAGCUUAAGAUAGCUUUAAAAUUAUAAGAUAAAAUAUAUAUAAUUUAAGCCAAUGAUUAACAUUAAAAGAUUUAUCUCUCAUAAAAGUUUUUAAUUUGUGCGUAGGAUAAUAAUAAAAUUGCAAAAGAAAUAAAAAAUAGCAUAGCACUAUUUUGAGUUUAAACAAUAAAAAUUAAAUGAAAAAUUAGAAGUGUAUUUAAAAAAAAGGAUAUUUUUGAAAAUAAAAUAAAUAUAAUUUAAAAAAAAAAAGAGUUUCAUGAGGGGUGCGAUAGUUCUGAAAUACUAGCUAGGCAACCCAAGAGGGGGGUGAAUUGGGAUUUUAAAAUUUAUGCAAUAUAAUUCGCACAACAAUUCAAUCUAAUGCCUUAAUCAAUUCGAAACAAUAAAUUCAAUGAAACACAAUAUUAAAAGAGUAAGGGAAGAGAAAACGAACACAAGGAUUUUUACGUGGUUCGGCUAUCCCCGCCUACGUCCACGCCUCCAAGCUCACCGGGCUUGAGGAUUUCACUAAGCUAGCCUCCCAAGGCUUCAAACGCUUACAAUUGACUUCCAAGGUGUCAAUGGACCUUUACAACAAGAGAUUAUCCCCAAUCUCUUAACCCAAGUGUAUCCCAACACUUACAAUCUUUUAAUUUGAUUUUACAAAAAAGAUUACAAAUGAAUCUCUCUCACACAAUGUGUUUGAUCUCAAGUGAAAGCUCAAUGUGUGAAUGAAUGAGAUGAAUACAAUAAUUUAAAGCUCAAUGAAAGUUGUAUUCUCAAUAUUUUGCUCAAUGAUAAUCGUUGGAAUCCCUCUUGUUUGAAUUGGAUUGAGCUUAUUUAUAGUUGGAGCUGAAAACUAGCCGUUAUUGACUUUCUGCACACUGUCGGAUCGCCGUUAGCUAGAUGUCGGAUCGCCGUUUGACUGGUCAAUAUGACCGUUGGGCUGAUUUUUCAAAUUGUCGGAUCGCCGUUAACUAUAUGUCGGAUCGCCGUUUAGGUCUAGAGGCUACUGGUUGAUAUCGGCGAGCCGUUUAUCACACAUGUCGGUUCGCCGUUUAUUUCCAGAGACUAAUCUUCAAUUCUGUUAGAUGUCGGCGAGCCGUUAUCAAGAUGUCGGAUCGCCGUUUUCUACAGUAACUGCUACAGUGAAAUAUUUCCCAAAUUUACAAUUUGACCCCAAAACUUUAUAAAACUAUGUUACGGCCCAAAACGUUAUAAAACUUUGCAAAUAGGUCCAAUUUCAGAAUUUCUAAGUAAUACUUUGUUAAUCCCAAAACUUUCUGAAAUUAUGGUAUAGCCCAAAAUGCUAUGACACUUUUCAAAUAAGUCAUUCUCCAAAAUUUCAAGCAAUACUUGUUUAUUUCAAAGUUUUCAAAAUUCUUUCAAUUAAACCAUAAACUUUGAAAAACAACUAAUUUCAUAAAAUUAUUUUUCCAUUAAAUAUGAAACAUUUAUAAUGUGAAAAUAAUGAUUUAUUUAAAAAGAAUAAAAACAAUCAAUUUCAUAAAAUCAUUUUUCCAUUAAAUAUAAAACCUUUAAAAUGUGAAAAUAAUGAUUUAUUUAAAAUGUAUAAAAAAUAAUUUGAUCUUAAAAGAUUAAUCAUUCUUAAUCUUGUUUGUUAUCAUCAAAAUCAAUAUUAUGGAAACAUAUAUGUUAACAAUCUCCCCCUUUUUGAUGAUGACAAACAUUUCAUGUAUUUAAAGAAUGAUUCCACAAAUUGCUCCUCCUAAAUAUAAUAUUCUCUUAUAAUUUGCCAAUUAGCUAAAUUAAUGAUUUAAAUACAUAGAUUUUUCUCCCCCUCAUCAUCAAAAAGAAAAACUAAAUUGGCAAAGAAAAAGUAACAAUUUUUUUUUUUUAUAAAUUUGAAAACAUGUAUUCUUCUCCCCAUUUAUCAUCAAAAAGAAAAUGUAAAGGAAAAUAAUAAAAGUAGCAAAUUUGUUACCCAUGUUGUUUGAGUAGAAAUUUUUAAAAAAAAUCUCCCCCUAACAACAAGCAUCAUCUCAAAUACAAGAUUAGUAAUAUCACAUCAAAAUUAUUAUCAUCAUAUAAUCCAACAACCAUAAAAUGAUUACGAAUUAUUAAUCCAUUAAUUAUCAAAUCAAUAACUCAAAACAUAAAAUCAUCAUAUAAAACACCCAUGUAAUCAAAUCAUUAUCAUAUCUCAAAAUCAUCAAAAUCAUCAUCAUAAUCAAAUAUCAAUUAUCAAAACAAUUACUCAAAAUGCAUGUUAUUCUCCUCAUUUUGACAAAAUAGAAAUGAUAUAUCCUUUGUCUCCCCCUUUGGACAACAAAAAAGUUUAAAAUACAUAUUAUCCAAAAUCAUAUUACAUGCUCCCCCUAAAUAUAUGGCCAAUGUAAAAUUUUAAUCAAAAUAAUUUUAUCCAACAACAUAUCAUAUUUGUCUCCCCCUAUCAAGACUUCAAAUCAAGCACAUAUAAUUAUCAAUUAUCAAAAUCAUCAAGAAAUCAAAUUAUUCCAAGUUUAUGCCGAAUUUUUGAAAAUUACUCUUCGCAAAGAGGUUUUGAUUUGUUUACCAAAUUGGCAUGCAUAUUAUCAACUAUCCAAGCUCCAUAAUUAUCAAUCACAUUUUAUAAAUAAAGACAACUAAACACAUCAAAGAUCUAAUGUGACAUUUUAAUAAAAAAAAAUCUCAUAUGCUUAAAAAUAUCGAAGUAUAUGAAUUUCUCCAUUUUUCGAUAUCAUUUAAAGCAAGUUAUGCAUAUUUAACAAUGCGUCAAGAAAGCACAAACAAAAAUGUAUCCAUUCACCAAUCAUAGAUUCCAUAAGAUCAAACUUCAUCAAAUACAAUGGAAUCAUCAAAGCACAAAUUUUAUCAUCAAAACUUAAGCAAAGCAUAAGUGUAUAAUUGCAAUAUAAGAUCAUCAAAAUCAACAUAGCUAUUAAGAUAAGCCAUCAUUAUGAGUUAAGAACAAGUGAUCAAAUUCAUUAUUACAGAUGCUCACAUAUAUUUUUAAGUGAUGAUAUAGUAGUUACACCUUGUGAUGGAUCUUUCAAAAUAAAGUUCUUAAGGUGAGAAGAAACAUACCUCCACUCCUUGGGGAGUGUUUGAGAAGUACCUUCAUUUUACUCCGCAUUUGUUUCUUCAUGUUGCUCAUCUUGAUUUUCAAGUGGUGCAUUCUUUUGGCUAUCAUUUGAUAAUCUACUUGUAGCUUUUCAUCUACAUUAUCAUCAACAACAACAAAAUAAUUAAAUCAUCUUGCCUCAUCUUUUUCUCCUAGAUCAUGCUCAAAUGAUUAUCCUCACAAGCUUCAUCAAGGAACUCUCCACCAUUCUUUGAUUGUGGUACCUACAAAGAAAACAUUCACGUUGUGCCCUUUGGUACCCAAAUACUCUUGGGUCCUUGAGUGUUAGCAAUUGUUCCUUUUGGAACCCAAACACAUUUUACUCCAUAAUAUACUUUUCUUUUAAUAGGACAACCAAGCUUCAUGUGACCGUUUUGAUUACAAUAAUAACAUACAACUUGAUUGUUAGUAGAUGUACUCUUCACAAAGUAGUUCUUAUAAUACUUUUGUUUCAAAUGUGGCUUAUAACCAAGUCCUCCUUUAUCAAACACACAUUUUUGUGAAUUCAGCAUGUUAUCCAACAUCUUUUGCCCAUUUGUGAAUUUUAAAACAAUCUCAUUCAACUCAUUGCUCCUUUUCUUAAGUGUUUCAUUUUCAUUUAUUAAUUCAUCAACAUGUGAUUUCUCAUGCUCAUACGAAUUACUUUGUUUACAUGUGAAUGAUGCAAUUCUAUCAUGUAACAUUUCAUUAUUUAAUUCCAAUUCUUUGAUCUUUUCAUUUAAUGAAACAUUGGAUUUUUGCAAGGCAUCUUUUUCAUUUUUCAAGUCAUUUACAUGUGAUUCUAGAUGCUUGUGUGAAGUGCUAGAAUUCUCAAGUAAUGCAAUACUAUCAUGCAAUGUCUUAUUUUCUAAUUCUAGGCAUGUAAUCUUUGCACUAAAUGAUUCAUUUUCAUUCUUAAGCUCCAUCAUCUUCUUUUUAAGACAUGCAUUCUUUUUACUAAUUUUUAUCCAAUUAUCAUGCAAUUCUUUAAAAGCAUCAUAUAAUUCAUUAUAAGUAGGAAGAUCAUUUACCUCAUCAAGUCCGUCAUCCGAGUCAUCUCCAAUUGCCAUAAGUGCCAAAUUCGACACUUCAUGAAAUUCCUCCUCCUUUGUAGUCUCCUCAUACACAAUUUCAAGUUUUCUCCAAAUUUCAUAAGCAUUAGAACAAUUUGAAACUCUAUGAAAUUCCUUUUUAUCUAAGGCACAAAAUAAAGCAUUCAUAGCCUUGGAAUUUAAAGACAUCUUUUUCUUAUCCAACUCACUUAAAGCAUUCUUUCUAGGAAUGAAUAAAUCAUCACAAACAACUUCCCAAAUUUCAUAAUCUAGUGCUUGUAAAUAAAUUCUCAUCCUAGUUUUCCAAUACGGGUAGUCAUUUCCGUCAAAGAACGGUGGUCUAAUUGUGGAUUGUCCUUCCCUAAAUGUUGAGUCACUAUAGGUUGCCAUGGAUCUUUUAACUCUAGACGGUUAAGUCUACACAAGAGCACCUCGCUCUGAUACCAAAUGAAAUACUAGCUAGGCAACCCAAGAGGGGGGUGAAUUGGGAUUUUAAAAUUUAUGCAAUAUAAUUCGCACAACAAUUCAAUCUAAUGCCUUAAUCAAUUCGAAACAAUAAAUUCAAUGAAACACAAUAUUAAAAGAGUAAGGGAAGAGAAAACGAACACAAGGAUUUUUACGUGGUUCGGCUAUCCCCGCCUACGUCCACGCCUCCAAGCUCACCGGGCUUGAGGAUUUCACUAAGCUAGCCUCCCAAGGCUUCAAACGCUUACAAUUGACUUCCAAGGUGUCAAUGGACCUUUACAACAAGAGAUUAUCCCCAAUCUCUUAACCCAAGUGUAUCCCAACACUUACAAUCUUUUAAUUUGAUUUUACAAAAAAGAUUACAAAUGAAUCUCUCUCACACAAUGUGUUUGAUCUCAAGUGAAAGCUCAAUGUGUGAAUGAAUGAGAUGAAUACAAUAAUUUAAAGCUCAAUGAAAGUUGUAUUCUCAAUAUUUUGCUCAAUGAUAAUCGUUGGAAUCCCUCUUGUUUGAAUUGGAUUGAGCUUAUUUAUAGUUGGAGCUGAAAACUAGCCGUUAUUGACUUUCUGCACACUGUCGGAUCGCCGUUAGCUAGAUGUCGGAUCGCCGUUUGACUGGUCAAUAUGACCGUUGGGCUGAUUUUUCAAAUUGUCGGAUCGCCGUUAACUAUAUGUCGGAUCGCCGUUUAGGUCUAGAGGCUACUGGUUGAUAUCGGCGAGCCGUUUAUCACACAUGUCGGUUCGCCGUUUAUUUCCAGAGACUAAUCUUCAAUUCUGUUAGAUGUCGGCGAGCCGUUAUCAAGAUGUCGGAUCGCCGUUUUCUACAGUAACUGCUACAGUGAAAUAUUUCCCAAAUUUACAAUUUGACCCCAAAACUUUAUAAAACUAUGUUACGGCCCAAAACGUUAUAAAACUUUGCAAAUAGGUCCAAUUUCAGAAUUUCUAAGUAAUACUUUGUUAAUCCCAAAACUUUCUGAAAUUAUGGUAUAGCCCAAAAUGCUAUGACACUUUUCAAAUAAGUCAUUCUCCAAAAUUUCAAGCAAUACUUGUUUAUUUCAAAGUUUUCAAAAUUCUUUCAAUUAAACCAUAAACUUUGAAAAACAACUAAUUUCAUAAAAUUAUUUUUCCAUUAAAUAUGAAACAUUUAUAAUGUGAAAAUAAUGAUUUAUUUAAAAAGAAUAAAAACAAUCAAUUUCAUAAAAUCAUUUUUCCAUUAAAUAUAAAACCUUUAAAAUGUGAAAAUAAUGAUUUAUUUAAAAUGUAUAAAAAAUAAUUUGAUCUUAAAAGAUUAAUCAUUCUUAAUCUUGUUUGUUAUCAUCAAAAUCAAUAUUAUGGAAACAUAUAUGUUAACAAGUUCAACUCUUUUGUUUAUAAGUUUUAAGAUGUUGGUAUCCAUAGCUUAGCUUUUCCCUAAUUAUUAUAUUAAAAUGUAACAACAAUGAUGAUCAACCCUAAUUUCAUGGAGGUAAAAGAUUUUGGUCAAGCCGCAUUAAUUAAUUCGGUCAUACUUUCUACAAAUUUAUUUACAUUUAAUAAUUUGACCAAGACUAGGUAAGGCGCCGCCUGGAGUCAGAAUUUUAUAUGUCAAAAAUGCGUUUCACUUCAAUUAAGCCAUAAAUGUCGUUUAAUAUGCUCAUUUUGUAUUUUUUAAAAAAAGUUUUAUUAUUUUUUUUAAAAUAUCAUUUAUUUAUUUAUUUUUUAAAGGUAAAGAGGUGGGUAAAAUAUAAAUUUAAUUUUUAUCCUUUAUGUCCUAGCCCUAAGAUUUGAACUCAGGUGAAUAGCCAAAUGUAUAAUAACAUGUAUUUCAAAUUUCAUUUUAAAUGAUAUGUAAUUCGUUAAGUGAUUGUUAAUUUUUUAUAAGAUCAAAAUGAAUUAAUUGUAUUAUCUCACUAACUAAUUGAUAAGUGCCCUAUUAUUUGGGAUAACUUUUGAAUAAAAAAAUUGUGAUGGAUGAAAUAUUCUUUUGAGAAUUUAUUGACUUAUCUCAUUUAUGAUUUAUUGUUGCAUUUAAGUGAUAUUACAAACAAUUUUUCCGAUAAUAUUAUUGUUUUGACGAGUAAGUUUGGAGUAAAUAAUACAUAUAGCAAGUGUGAGGUUUGUUAUUGCAUAUAUUUUGUGGAUCCAUUUUAAAGCAAAAAAAAAGGCAUUUCGAUUCAUUAUGAUUCCAGAUAAUUUCAAGCCAUAUGUCAUUAUUGGGAUAAAAAUAAAGUAAAAUGGUUAAAACUAUUUUUAUGUAAUUUAUAAAAAUUAAUGAAGCAACUACAAAAUUUUUUAACACAAAAAAAAAUUGAAAUGUGUGUGGAAAAAGAAGAAAAAAAAUAAGGCAUUUAAAUAUCUUCUUAAAAAGUACGAUUGAGUAAAAUCAUUUUAACAGAAUGCUCUUCCAAAUACAAUUUCACAUUAUUUUUUUAUUGCAGUGGGAUAUUCCAAAAUUGGCACAACUCAUUAAGAAUUCGGCAACUCAAAUUUUAUUUAUCUCUCUUUGCAUUUGACAAAUUAAAAAGAAAAAAAAAUUCAUAUACCUUCUGUUCAAAAGAAACCUUGGUAAAUAUUGUAAAACAAAUUACCAUUUUUUUUAAUUUAUGCCAUUAUAUCGUCGCUAUUUUCUCGCCCACUUUCUUAAAAUAGAAUCAAUAUUUAUUGAUGGGUUGGGUUCCAGAGUAAGCACCAAUUCAGCAAAAUGGUUUUAUAGCAGAAAAAGUACUUGUAAGACAUUCAGAACACAUUUUUCAAUUUUGUCUUUUGAAAAUGAGUCUUGAGUUCCACAAGCCAAGAAGAAUGGCUAAAAAAUGUAUGGUAUCAAAGAAAGAGAAACACACACACACAGAGAGAUUAUUGAGGAGAUAUAUGAGUGUGUAAUUUGUAUAUAUAUCCCCAUUAAUUGUUGAGAGUCCAAUGGGUAUAUGCAAAAGGAAAAAAUUGGCUUUCCUUUUAAGACAAAAUUGACUGUCACAUGACAAUGUUAGCACACUUGCCACGCAACAAAAAUAAAGAUUCCAAGAACAACUUUAUGGUCCCCUUUCUGUCCAAACAUAUGCGAUAGAAAUUAAUGUAAACGACACUUGAAAUAUAUAUAGUAGAUCCUCACACAAUUGAUUAAAUAUUUAUAGUAGGAUGGAGUGAUAAAUAGUUUCACAAAAUUAUUGGAAUUAACUACUUAAUACAUGAGAUCUAUCUCAUUAAGGAUAAAAGAUUGAGUGCUGCUUCAAAAGCAUGACGUUGCUGGCAACAAAUUUAAGACAAAAGUUUAAUUAAUUAUCCUAGUUGAGACGAUAAAAUCUCGUAUUAAGAACAAAAGGUUUGAAGUUCGAACCUUCUCAAUCAAGAAAAUCAAGUCAAAAUAUUACAUCUUCCAGCACAUAUCAAAGAUUUUUUCAAAGGCAGACUGAUAAUUCAGGGUAAAAAAAACAAAAAAACAAAAGGAAUAUAUGCUAUUCAAGACAGGUAUACCUUGGACAUGAAGUCUGAGUCCAGAACAAGAAGCAAUUAGCUGAUCUUUCAAUUUCCAAAACCCAACAAAAUCUUUGUCAAAAUAUAUGAUCUAGUCCCAAGCACAUUCAUAGACGUAUCAACAGGUUCAAAAUUUUUUCCCCAAAAGGAGAUAGAGAUUCCAUUGAAGUUGAGUUGUGACUGUCCCAACGUUUUGUAAUUAUAUAGUUCAGGAUACCAUGCCUAUGAACCGUUUUUUUUUUUUUUUUUUCCAUGUUUCGAAGUCUAUCAAAUGAAAAUGUAAUUAUAUGGUUCAGGAUACCAAUAUGCCGGAGCUGCAAAGGUUGACUUCUACUAUCCUAUCAAUGUCUAUACUUUCUAUUGAAUUUCCUUGUUUUUUUUUUAAAUUGCGAGAUUUAUUUUUAGAAAUCUUUGACACAUUUUAUGUAAGACACCAUAAAAGCCAAAUACAACCUUUUUUAUUCUCAGCAACAACUUUUUUUUUCCUUUUAAAAAAAGGAAGCCAUAUAAAUAAUGCUUUAAACAUUAUUUGCAACAAGGAACAAUUAUUUCAUGCGUUUGGGUAUUAGAAACUUCCCAAAAAUGCUAGCAAGAAAAUGAAAUGGAACUUUACCUAGUCACAGAAUAUGUAUUGCUGUUAGCCCAAUUGUUAUGAAGUGGCUUCUGCAUCAGAAGAUUCCAGCUCCCACCAAGCAUUGUUAUCUCUCUUCUGAAUACAAUCUGUUAGGAAAUUGGUGGGUGAAGCAGACACGCAGCUAAAGUAAAACUGGAAGAAAAUAAAGAACAAGCACAAAAGAGGACACCGAAAAAUUACGUGGUUCGGCUUUUAGCCUACGUCCACGGGCAAAACAGAAGGAAAUAUUUUACUAGUGAAAAGGAGUUACAAGUAUUGUAGUAUUUUAGCUCACUUCCCAAAACCCCAAUACACCCAAACUCUCAAAUUACUAUAACUCUUAAAAACACUCUCUAAAUAAGGAAAAGAACUGAAGAACUCGAUGAUAACAAAUGAAGGGAGCCAGUGUUUUUAUAGCCAAAAUUAGCUACUGUUCAUUUAAUAUUUAAUUAUUAUUAUUUUAUUAAUUUUUCUUUUUCUUUUCCUUCUUCGGCCCGGCAUCUCUUUUUUCUUCUUUCUCUUUCGUUUCUUUCCUUGGGCGGCAUCUACUUGGCUUUCAAAGCCGUGUGCCACCAAUGAAGCUUAUUCAAAGCUUCUAGAUGCAGCUUCUAGAUGCUGCAGCCAAAGUAUUUUGACAUUCUCCCACUUGGAGAUUAAAUUGAAAAACAAUCAAUCUCCACACCAUCCUUUCUGCUUCGCCAUAAUCAUGUUGCCUACGUUUCUGUUCGGCCACAAGAGGAUCUACUCCAGACAAACUUAUCAGUAUUUAUCGGCUUGGUCAAAACAUCUGCUAGGUUCUCUUUGGUAUGAAUUUUCUGCAAAUCCACACUUUCAUCUUCCACUACUUCUCGAACGAAGUGAUACUGAACUCCUAUGUGCUUUGUCCUGAAAUGAAAGGCUGGAUUCCUUGCAAUGUGCAAGGCACUCUGACUGUCACAAUACACAGAAAUUUUCUGUUGUUUGUGCCCGAGCUCCUCCAAUAAUCUUUGUAUCCAAAUAGCUUCCUUGCAAGCUUGUGUAACUGCCAUGUAUUCUGCUUCUGUUGUAGAUAAUGCCACAACGGUCUGCAGUUUCGAAACCCAGCUUACAGCUGCUCCCGCAAGUGUAAACACAUAACCAGUAGUGGAUUUUCUUUUAUCAAGAUCUCCUGCAAAAUCUGAAUCCACAUAACCCCUGACAGUAAACUCUGAUCCUCCAUAACAUAAUGUAACAUCUGAGGUUCCUCUGAUGUAUAUCAGAAUCCUCUUCACAGCUAUCCAAUGCUCUCCACCAGGAUUCGCCAUGUAUCGACUGACUGCUCCCACUGCUUGUGCAAUGUCCGGUCUUGUACAUAUCAUAGCGAACAUUAAACUUCCCACUGCUGAUGCAUACGGUACUCGAGACAUCUCCUUCCUCUCUGCUUCAUUGCUAGGACACAUACUUGAGGAUAAUUUGAAAUUAACAGGAAGUGGAGUAGAAAUUGACUUACAAUCUUGCAUGUUGAAGCGCCGCAAGAUUUUCUUUAAGUAAUUCUUCUGUGAAAGCCAAAACUUCUUGUUAUUUCUGUCUCGGUGAAUUUGCAUCCCUAGAAUCUUGUUUGUUGGUCCCAAGUCCUUCAUUUCAAACUCCCUAGCCAACUGUGCCUUCAAUUCUUGGAUUCGAUCUUUGUUAGGGCCUGCUACCAACAUAUCAUCCACAUACAACAGCAAAAUAAUAAAAUUAUUAUCUUCAAACCUCUUGUAAUAUGCAUAAUGGUCUGAACUGAGUCUGUUGUAUCCAACGCUCAUGAUGAAGGAAUCAAAUCUCUUAUACCAACACCUCGGCGCCUGUUUGAGACCGUAUAGAGAUUUGUUCAACCUGCAAACCAAGUUCUCCUUUCCUGUUUCUGCAAAACCUUCUGGUUGGAGCAUAUAUAUUUAUUCUUCAAGUUCUCCAUGAAGAAAUGCAGUUUUCACAUCCAACUGCUCAAGAUGUAAGUCAAAUGUAGCACACAUCGCCAAGACUACUCUGACUGUUGUGAGUCGAACCACCGGUGAAAAUAUCUCGUUGAAGUCAAUACCUUCUUUCUGAGCAUAUCCUUUCACCACCAAUCUCGCACGAUACCGCUCCACUUGGUCAUUGCCAUCACGUUUGAUCUUGUAAACCCAUUUGUUUCCAAUGGCUUUUCUUCCGUGUGGUAGUGGUACAAGUUCCCAUGUCUUGUUCUUGUGUAGAGCUUCAAUUUCUUCCUGCAUUGCUGUCAUCCACAAAGCAACAUCUGAGCUGUUUAAAGCUUCAUGAAAAGUUGAAGGCUCUCCAUCCUCUGUUAGAAGACAGUAUGCAACGUUGAUCUCUAUGACAUACUCCGAGUGCCACGUUGGCGGUCGUCUCUCACGAGUUGACCGACGAACUUCUGGAGCCUCGGACUCGACUGGUUCUUGUUCCUCGUGCUCUGGUGCUGCUUCAGAAGAAUCUGAAUCUUCUGGAUUAUUUUCUACAUAUACCGGCACAAUCUCUGACUUUUCUUUUACAGUGUCAUCAUCUCCAUCUUUCAUUUGCAGUUGAUCUUCUACAAAAAUAACAUCUCUGCUGAUGACGAUCUUGUGGGCAGUGGGGUCCCACAGACGAUACCCCUUUACUCCAUCAGCAUACUCCAAGAAGAUACAUCUUCUAGAUUUUGGAUCCAGCUUUGUUCUUUUUGGGGCAUUGUACAUCACGUACACAGGACAUCCAAAUGCAUGUAGGUAGGAAUAAUCAGCUGGCUUUCCAGUCCACAUCUCCAUCGCUGUCUUCAGCCCAAUAACUGUAGAUGGCGAUCGAAUUACUAUAUAACAGGCAGUUUUGGCUGCUUCUGCCCAGAAUGAAUUGGGUAGACCAGCAGUCCUCAACAUAGCUCUUAUUCUUUCUGUAAGAGUUCUAUUCAUCCGCUCUGCCACUCCGUUUUGUUGAGGAGUGUAUGCCACCGUGAACUGCCUCUGAAUACCUUCUUGCUUACAGAAAGCAAGAAACUCGCCGUCUGUAUACUCUCCACCAUUAUCCGUCCUUAAGCACUUGAUCUUUUUACUAGAUUCAAGUUCCACCUACGCUUUGUAUUCUUUAAACACUGGAAAUACAUCUGACUUUUUCUUAAUUGGAUACACCCAACAUCUUCUGGAAUAAUCAUCAAUGAAAGUCACCAUGUACUUUGCACCUCCCAUGGAUAUAUCCGGUGAUUCCCAAACAUCAAAAUGAAUCAAGUCUAGAAUGCAUUUACUUCUAGCAAUAGAUCUACUGAAUUUUAAUCUAUGCUGCUUACUUGUAACACAAUGCUCGCAAAAUGGUAAACUUACCGAUUUGAGCCCCGGAAGUAAUUUUCGCUCAGAGAGAAUCUUCAAGCCUUGUUCUGACAUGUGGCCAAGUUUGAGAUGCCACAUCAUCAUUGAUUCUUCUCCAUUUGACGCGACACACGCAUCAGCCUCCUGUAGUGUUUCUCCUUUAAGCAUGAAUAGAUUAGCACCGAUCUUUUCUGCCUUCAUCAAUACAAGCGCGCCUUUAACGAUCUUCAUAAUUCCAUUCUCCACAUGAGUUUUGUACCCAUGACUAUCCAUUUGUCCCAAAGACAAUAGAUUUUUCUUCAGGCCGUUGACAUGUCGUACCUCUCCAAUUGUGCGAAUUGUACCAUCAAACAUUUUUAUUUUGAUAGUACCAAUACCAGCGAUCUCCAAGGCAUGAUCAUUACCCAUAUAUACAGAUCCUCCUGAGAUAGGUUCAUAUGUGUGGAACCAUUCUCUCCAAGAGGUCAUGUGCCAGGUAGCUCCUGAGUCUAUAAGCCAGACAUCAGACAAUCGUUUUCUGCCUUCUGAAAUAGUUGUUGCCUCGCUGUAAAGAAUUUCGCCAUCAUCUGAGGUAUUUGCUACACAACCCUGAGCAUUUGAUGACUCAGGUUCUUUGCCCUCUUUUCUCUUCUGGUUACUCCAACAUUCUUUCUUGACGUGCCCUUUCUUGCCACAUUUGUAGCAUUUAACAUUCUUCUUACUUCUGGAUUUUGAUCUACCCUGAUUUUGACUCCCACUGGGACCACGUUCCGUUGAUCUCCCUCUCGUCACUGAUAGCGCCUCCGCUUGCUGCGAACUUGCUUGUCUGUUUUCCUUAUUUUUCCGCCUGCUCUCCUCAUUUAAUACGGAGGCUGCAACAUCGUCGAAAACUAGACUCUCCACUGGAUUGUUGUUCGUCAGGUUGAUGAUGAGUUGAUCAUACGAAUCUGGUAGACUUUGAAGUAGAAGCUCUGCACGUUCAUUUUCCUCUAUAUUAUGACCCAACGUUGUGAGUUGUGAAAAUAGAGUCUUCAAUGUGUAGAUGUGGUCGGUCACCAUUGUAGAUUCCGCCAUUCGAAGAGUAUAGAGUUUUCUCUUCAAGAAGAUUUUAUUGUAUAGUGACUUGGCCUCAUACAAUUUUGUGAGAGUAUCCCAUAUUUCCUUCGCCGUAUUUUUCUCUGCCACACUAGAUAAUACUCCGUUUGCAAGUGCCAAGUGUAGAUCAGAAAUGGCGUUGCCGUCUACCUCAUUCCACUUGUCAUCAGUUAUCUCCAUGGGCCUUUCUCCAAUUGCUACCAAGCAAUUAUUUUUCCUCAAUACAGCUUUCAUCUUCAUUUUCCACAACGAAAAAUUAUUUCCGUUAAAUUUCUCAAUUUCAUACUUUGCCGCCAUUUUGUUGAUAAAUACUGCACACAAGCUAGUAUACCACCUUGAAUAGUUGUGAGUAUGUGUGAGAAUGCACACCAGGAAAGUUCCCAGGAAAGACUGGAGGGGUCACAAUGGUCCCACUUAAAACCCAGACUCCUUAAACUCUUAUCGCUUUUGUGACAGAACUUUCCUAGACAUGUACAAAAAACCACACAGUUGUUUUACUCACACCACUAUUCCUUGUUUUGCACCGUAAAAUUUUUUGAUCGCUUCCACCGUUUCACGUGAAUAGUACCGUAUACGUGAAUAGUACCAUAUAAGUGAAUAGUAUAGUUUAUACGAACAAAACCGUAUACAUGAACAGUACCAUAUAUGUGAAUAGUAUCGUAUACGUGUACGGUGCCGUAUACGUGAAUAGUACCCCUUACGUGAACAGUUCCUGACUCCAAAAAUACAACCAAUAGCUCUGAUACCACUGUUAGGAAAUUGGUGGGUGAAGCAGACACGCAGCUAAAGUAAAACUGGAAGAAAAUAAAGAACAAGCACAAAAGAGGACACCGGAAAAUUACGUGGUUCGGCUUUUAGCCUACGUCCACGGGCAAAACAGAAGGAAAUAUUUUACUAGUGAAAAGGAGUUACAAGUAUUGUAGUAUUUUAGCUCACUUCCCAAAAUCCCAAUAUACCCAAACUCUCAAAUCACUAUAACUCUUAAAAACACUCUCUAAAUAAGGAAAAGAACUGAAGAACUCGAUGAUAACAAAUGAAGGGAGCCAGUGUUUUUAUAGCCAAAAUUAGCUACUGUUCAUUUAAUAUUUAAUUAUUAUUAUUAUUUUAUUAAUUUUUCUUUUUCUUUUCCUUCUUUGGCCCGACAUCUCUUUUUUCUUCUUUUUCUUCUUUCUCUUUCGUUUCUUUCCUUGGGCGGCAUCUACUUGGCUUUCAAAGCCGUGUGCCACCAAUGAAGCUUAUUCAAAGCUUCUAGAUGCAGCUUCUAGAUGCUGCAGCCAAAGUAUUUUGACACAAUCUGCAUCGCUGGGCAUGAGUUAUAUCGUUAAUUAUGCAUCCUCACUUACAUCAUCCCAAUCAAGUGCUUUUUCUCCAUAUCUGGAUUAUAAGUCCACUCCAAUCUCUUCAAAACAUCCUAGUCCUUCCAUCACAACUGAUACGACUUCCUUCCUAAUUACUUUCCCAUUAAUAAAUCGCUCCAAGAAAAAAAAGCAUUAGCAAUUCUCUUCAACGCCCCAUCACUCAUAUCCCCUACAACAACCAUCUUCAGACACCUCAACGUUGCCUCUUGAAAGACCUCCACAAAAUCCGAAUCAUCCGACAUAACCACCAAACACCCAAAUCUUCUUUUGUCCACCAUAGCCACCAUAUAAUUUCUCAACAAAACAUCGGCAUCUUGUGGCUUAACUAACACCAUCUUGACCCAAAACCAUGCUCUUUUCAACUCAUCUGCAAAACCAUAACCCACUUUUGGAGUCAAAAUUGCGCUUGCAGCCAUUUUAUAUUUUUCCAUCUUUAUUGAAUAGUUGCCAACCAAAAGCACUCUCACCUUCCCUCUAGCUGAUUCUAUUUGAUUCGACCUUUUCUUUUGUUCACCCUCAUGAAUUUGCCUAAAAUGAUUAACAAGUUUGUCAUUAUUAUAAAAUCUCCUUCCACAAUCACCAAUGCAUACGGCUUAGCAGGCCUAAUUACACCAUUGAUUUCUAAUUGGUUAAACAAUUCUCUUUCUUUCUUUGCCCUCUUACAACUUGAGGCACAUAACUAAACGCGUAGCUAUUAGCAUUUGCCACCAUGUUUUUAACAACCCUAAAUGAAGAUAUUGAUUUUAUCAGUUUAAUUGCUGCUUCAAAAUAGGGUACUGAAUUUGGAUUUUGAUAUCCAAAUACCAAAAAUUUCCCACAUUGUAUUGGACAAUUUUUGGUUUUAAAGUUGAUGACUGGUUUUGCGAAUCAGGCUUCAAAUGUGAACUUCUAAACAAUAAGACAAAUGGGUUUUGAGUUUCUAAUCUUGUAAUCUUUGCAAUGUUAUACUUUCUAAAAGUAAUAAGAAAUGGAACCAAGGGGUAAAUCGAACACCAAAAGAAAUUUAGUUGGCCAACCACAUUAUGUUCCCACACAGUCCACUAAUUAAUUUAAUAAUUUAAGGGAAUCAAAAUCUAAGAAAUCUCAUCUUCAAGCAGAAUACAAACACACCGGGAUUGAAAAUCACAAAAUCAUAAAAAGAAGCUGACUUGAAAAGCUCAAAUAUACGUUCAUCAGCCUCUCAACUUAUAUCUAAGAACAAAUACCUGCAGCUUGUGAAGACAUAGAUAAUUGAAGCUGAAGAGGCAUAUUUAACAGAUGAUAAUCAAAACUCAUGUGAUUAAAAUUAUAAUUCAAUAAUCGAGCACAUAAAACAAGUAGUAACUAGUUGUACAUAUACCAAACAACUUUCUGAAGUUAAGGCGGAAAACAACAACGUAGAACAAAUUAAUUAAAUAUACCACCAUCAAUACUCAUAUUAUUAUCCAAAUAUAGAAGACCAAUGCAUCAAGCAAGGAAAAUGAAAUAUUGUUAAUAACUCAAAAACCACUAGUGUCAAGAACUAAACUAAUAAGUAAAACCCAUAAUCAGACACAACCACAUCAAAAUCUCUGAAAAUUGAGGUCUAAACAUUGUAAACAAGCGCAUACCCAGUAACAGUAAUCAAGUAACAAGUCAAAACCAGAAUCAAACGUAGAAUUUUGAAAUCCAUACGAACUCUAACGUAUUAGAAUGAAAGAAUAAGGACGAUCGAUAAACUAGACUCAAACAAAAACAUGCCCAGUUAAAAAACGAAGAUAAAUAAAUAAAAAUGGUAUAAAACUGCGAAAAAAAUUAAUGAAAUGAAGAGAAAAUCACAGGAAUCCUAUGAAGAGGAAGGUAAACAAAACCUUCGGGAGCCGAGAAGAUGCCUUUUUUGUUGACGUUUGUGCCAAUACAUGCAUUUUUUUUUUUGUAAUUUUGAAGAAAGUAUUGGUUAAAUAUUGUCAGAACGAAAUAUUAAAAAUAGAUGUCGGCAAUUUCAACAAGGAAAAUCUUCGAUUCAAAUGUACCCCUAUGAUAAAGAAAAAGCCAGCUUGGCUAAAUUUUGAGCACCACAUUACAAGAUCUAGGUGUAUGUUUAACUAUGCAAAAUGAAACAUCUAUUAAUUGUAAGUCCCUUGACCUCUGGAACCAGACAACUAGUCUCUUUCCUACUAGACAACCUUCCAGCGAUCAGACUAAUAAUAUUUACUAAAUCAUGUUCUAUAGUUAAUGAAGUUGGACCCAAUGCAAUUGUUAGCUUAAUGUCCCAGGCCGCUCAAAUUUCCCGUAAUUGGAGGAUAAUUAUGUGCACAUGAGUUCGCUUAGCAAAAGUCCGCCUAGGCGUGGAGUGCACUUAAAAGCAGGAUGCACUUAGAAGUGGGAUGCGCUUAGCAAAUCAUCCAAGCCUGACCCAAGAUCUAUAACUCUCUGCAAAUUAUAAAUAAGCUAAAAGUUUCUAUGUUUCUCCACAUAGUUCCGUAGGAUAUUUAUGGAAGUUGACAGGAAGUUUCCUCCCCAAGAACUCUAAUACCUAUAAAUAGGGGUGGGCCCCCUCAUUUGCCGACCAACCACACCAUACACACAAACACUCCGGCACACACACAGGCUCUUUAGAUUUUGUAAAAAGCUCUCUUGUAUAUUCUCUCUUUGAGAGUAAUAAAAUCAUAUUCAGCCAUACUGCUCUACUUCUCUCUAGUAUUUUCCGCAAGUGUUCUUGCUUCGCUAGUUUGAGGAGUGUUCUAGGCUUACUUAGCAACUUGUUUGCUAUAAGGACAUCUUCGUCACAAAACAUGGACAUGCAAGGAAAAAAAAAAUAUUGAUACGUUCUAAAAAUAAUAUGCAUUCUUCUAUAGUGAACCAAAAAAUUUAGGCUAAUGGUAGAGAGUGAAGAAAUUGUGAUUUCACAUGCAUUUUGUUGACAUGAACGUAAAGAACUUUUUUAUAUUUUAUAUUGUUUAAUAUAACAUUUGAAUUGCAAAAUGGAUACACAAAGUGAUAAAACUAAGUUGAUUAUGAUAAAUAUUGAAUUAUAAGAUUUAGGUUUAAUCAUAAAGACAUAAGUGGCGCACAAAGUCACGAAUUAUCAUCCAUGAUGUAAGUUCAAACAACUGCAUAAUAAGUUGCCCUAAGCUAAACUAUUAAUCUAGUAACUAUUCCAGUCGAUGUGGGAUAAUUUUCCUAUCACCAUCUAUCACGUGCAAGCCGAAUUUGUUGCUUGGUCCUUACACGUGGUAAGGUAAUAUUUAAAGCCCAAAAAAAAAAAAGCACCGGUCCGCUAUGAUUUCAAAUAAGUUCAAGCCCUAUGUCAUUAUUGGUACAAAAAUGUAUCAGAAAGGUUAAAAAAUAUUUUAUUUAACUUAUAAACUUAGGAAAUUAUCAACUGUCCCCCUUAAAUUGCGCUAUUAUAAAAAAUAUUACAAUAUUUUUAGGUUGUAUCAUUCAUCUACCAUAAAUUUACAAUCUGCAUCAUUUAUCCACCAAAUCAUUAACUUCGUCAAAAAGUGAUAGACGUCAUAAGGGUAAUUUAGAAAUUUAACACAAAAAAUAAAAGAGAAAUUAUCUAAGCUUACCAUGUUAUCAAAAUUGCUACAAAAUUUUAAAUUUGUUCAAUUUUCCAAUCUAAGUUUAUGACCUUUAAGAUGUUAAUUGCAGUUUGUAAUUAAUGACUUCAUAAGGAUAAUUUAGACACUCAAUAUGCAAAAUAAAAAAUAAAAUAAUGGCUUAAAACAUUAAAACAAAAAACUACUUUUUAUAAUUGAUAUUCAAUUAAAUACACAUAAACUCUAUUUUUUCUUAAUUAAAAAUAUUCUAAUUUAUUUUCUCAAUUUAUCUUCAUAAAUUUACAUUAAUAAACUAAAUCCACAAAUUACCCUAAACCCUAAUGCAUAAAUUCCCAAUCAAUCCAAUAGUUUAAUUCGAUUUCAUAAUUAAAAAAAGCUAAAUUUAUUAUAUUAGUUAUGGUGCAAAGUUAAAAAUGUCCUUAAAUCCAAGGGUAAAAUAGCAUUUUAUUUAAAUUCUAUAAAUUAUUCUAACAAUGUUAACAUUUUGGUGGAUGGUUAAUAUAAGUUACAAACUUAAAAUAGAAAAUCAAAUAAAUUCAAAUUUUCAAACUAUUUAGGGCAAAUUUAGGAUAUAUGGUUAAUAAUUUUCCUAUGUCUUUUUACAUUGGUUGAUAUAAGUUACAAACUUAAAAUAGAAAAUCAAAUAAAUUUAAAUUUUCAAAUCAUUUAGGGCAAACUUAGGGUAUAUGGUUAAUAAUUUUCUUAUUUUUUUUUACGUUAAAUUGAGUUUCAAAGACAUAAUGGUCAAUUUAUUAUAAUUCUAUCAAUUUUUUAAUGGAAGCAAACGAUAUAAUGGACGAAUGAUAUAAAUUGUAAAAUUAAGGUGCAUGAACGAUAUAACUUUAAAGUAUUGUAGUACUUUUAAUAAUAAAACAGUUUAGAGAAAUUUACAACCGUCUACCUAUUUGUUUUGCCUUUUUCAAAAAUACACAAACACUUUUUUUUUUCAGCGCGCCACCUGAAGUUUACUUUUUGUUGCAUUCGUCUACUUCCGUCUAAUUUCCGUUAGUGAAUUUAACGGAGUGAUCUUUUUACCCCUCAAAAUUAUAAUUUAACCCAAAAUAAAUAGAAAUUAGAGAUAAAUUUGAUGGAUUUAAUUUUUUUCAAAGGUGGAUGCUAGAAAUUGCAGGAAAAUAAUGUUUGUUACUAAAUUUAGAAAAUUUGUAUUUAUUUUUUUGGAGAAAAAUAGUGUUUAUUGCUUGCUAAAUUUAGAAAAUUUGUAUUUAUUUUUUUGUCUUUCAAAAAAAUAAAUACAAAUUUUCUAAAUUUAGCAAGUAACAAACACUAUUUUCCUCCAAUUUCUAGCAUCCACCUUUGAAAAAAAUUAAAUCCAUCCAAUUUAUCUCCAAUUUCCAUUUAUUUUGGGUUAAAUUGUAAAUUUGAGGGGUAAAAAGGUCAUUUCGUUAACAUUCCGUUAAAUCCACUAACGGAAAUUAGACGGAAGUGGAUGAAUGCAAUAAAAAAUAAACUGAAUGCAACAAAAAAUAAACUUUAGGUGGCACUCUGAAAAAAAAAAGUGUUUGUGUAUUUUUGAAAAAGGCAAAACAAACAGGUGGACGAGUGUAAAUUUCUCAACAAUUUGAAGGUGGAUUGGCGAUAAUUUAAACUUUAAUGAAGCAACUAAAAAAUUUUUUUAACAAAGAAAAAUAAUUGAAUGCUUUGUGAAACCAAAAAUAUUUGAAAUGUUUUAAGAAAAAUAAAGGAAAUUAAAUAUUUUUUUUCAAAAACAUAAUUGAGUAAAAUCAUUUUAUAAAAUGCUCUUUCAAAUGCACAUUCCACGAGUCAGGGAGAACGGGUGGCUAACAAAAAUCUCACUUUUUAUGAGUUUAUAAAAUCUCACUUUUGCAGAAUCCAAAAAUAACCAAUACUAAUCACACAAAAAAAAUAAAAAUUAUUGCUGUCACGACAUUACACACUUUCUUCGCGGUUUAGAAAGGUAGAACAUUUUGAAGUUCCUCAAUACAAAAUGCGUGCUACUACUAAAUUGGCACAAAUAAUGCCUCAUAGAAAAGGCCAUCAAUUUAGACGGCAAUUUUGUCAAAAUUUCAACAAUUGAAGAAACAAUGAUCACAAACGGAACAGGUGAAUUUUGAAGUUGAAUAAAUCUUGAGAUGUAUACAACAAAGCUUUGAAACUUUAUUCUUCACAAUUUGAGCACGCACUGAAUAUUAAAGCAAAUAUAUAUGAAAAAAAAAUCAUAAAGCUACCAAAAGGAACCACAAAAUCAUCAAUAUUAUCGUUUAAUAUGGAGAACGGCCUGCGCAUCCAAAUUGUGCGAACUGAACACGUUGAACAAAGCUUCUUUUUGUUUUUUUGGAUUUUUGGAAUUUUUUUAAAAUCAUUUAUGUUCGCUGCCAUCUUUUUCUUCGCUGGCGUCUUCAUUGGCACCUCCUCGUCUGUAGUUUGCUGUGCCUAUAUAUCCAACCAAUAAAUUGGGCAUUAAAUACGAAUGAUGAAUAAAAUGAUUAAAAAACAAACAGAGAAAAUUAUAAUAUAACACAUAUAUAUAUUGAAAGAGAAAUUUUGAUUUUAGGAUAGAUCAAUUAGCUAUCACAAACGAAAACAUGAACCAACUAUGUAUAGAGUCAAUUAAUUUAAAGUUCUCAAGAGUUGACCUGCGCUCCUGAAUUCUUGGACUCAUCUAUCUCCUUCUGAAUUUCCACGAAGCCUGGGACAAUUACUAACAAAUACAGACUUGGCAGAUGGAAAUGGGAUCUGAUAACCCGCAGGCCAAAAGUUGGUGAGGUUUGGUAAGUCUUCCAGUAUCAAGUACCAAAGUUCAUUCAUAACAAUUUCAUUGUAAUCCGUGACGUCUGCUCCAUCUUUAUGCCAGAAUACUUCUUCUAAUUCAUCAUUACCUAUUAUCCAUAUGUACUUCAGUUUUUGAAGACUUGGAGCUACGCUGAUAUGAAAUAGAUGCUUUAGUUUGGGGCAAUAACCGACAGAGAUCUCUGUGAGUUUUGGGAAACAUAGGGGUUGGAGAUGAUCCUCAUCAAUGAUUUGCUCUAAUUCCAAGCAGUUAUCAAUAACCAGCUUCUCCAAUUGCAACAGAUUUCGAGCAAGUGUUGAUGAGAAGAGACGUCUCAGCAUAGUGCACCCGUCCACUCUUAAAUAGGUAAGACUUUGCAGGCUAAAAUUAUGCGUAGGACCUUCGUGAUAUAAUACUUGCAGUUCUCGAAGGUUUUCCAAUUGCAACCUCUUCAAACAUGGGAAUAGUUUGUUUUCUUGUCCCUCGGCGAUAAUAGCUUCCAAUUGAAAUACCACCUGUACUCCAAUUUCCAUAAUACCCAAAUAUUCCAAAUUUUUUAAUCCGUGCUUCAACAGUGCUGGAAUUGUGUCACUCAAAUGGGAACAAUUGUCCACAUCUAGAGUAUUUAAGUUCUGAGACAAAUAAAUAAAUAACUUGAUGCAAUUAAAAUUUAUUAGCAGCUACGAUUAUCACAUGAUAACACCGCAAAAAUAUCAUAAUACAUAUGUAAACUAAUAAAAUAAUUAAAAAAUAAUGGAUUUAAAAAAAAGAAAUUAGUUAAAAGAGAUCAUGUGAAGUGAUAUAAAUGUGACAGUAGAUUGUUUUAGAAAAAAAUAUUAUUCUAUUAAUUUAUAUGGCUUGAUCAACUAUUUAAUUGAAUCAGAAGUAUUUGCAUCAAUUCUUUCUAAACCAAAAUGAGAUAUGACUUUUAUUUGAAGAAUGGUUUUAAGCCCUAUAAUAAAGAAAUUUCCCUAAGAUAUCGGAGCAUUAUUGUUAUCACCGCCACAUCCACCACCACCAUCAUCAUCUCCAUAGGAUCAAAUAAUUAAUGGCUGAUCAUAAAAUUUAUUGCUAAACUACCAUUUUCAGUAAAAUUAAAGGAAAAGAGAAAAAAACAUAAAUACAAAUAAACAUACCUUUUCAAGAUACUGCAAAUUGGCUUCAAGUUCAGUACUGUUGACGGUCAAGUUGGGACAGUAAUGAAGCUGUAACUCUUCCAAUGCUGGCCAAAUUGAACAAUAAUUUUCUGAACAGAAGCUGGUGAGUUCUGAGAGAUUAUCAAGUGUUAAUUCUCUCAACAAAGGGAGGGCGAGCAUCGUAUUUCCAUCUCCGACACUUAUUUCCCCUUCAUUAUGAUCAAACUUUGCUUCGACAAUAUAUUCCAGUCUCUCGCAUCCACUUACAUUGAGACUUUUAAGCUGCUCCAAACUUCUAGCUUGUGACAACGUGAAGAUAUAUGUCAACUUGUUGCAGCCAUGCACAUUCAAUUUUGUAAGAGUUUGGAGACUGAUCACAUGUUGGGCGGGCGCCUUCCAUAUCCACUUCAGUUCUGGUAAGUCCCACAUAGAUAACUCUGCUAAUCUUGAGAGACUCUUUCCAUGCGGCGACUUAGAGGCUUCCAUUAUGCAUUCUAAAUCUUCGCAAUCGCGGACAUCAAGACAAGUCAACUCAUUUAAGCCCCUUUCAUCUAUGCUUGGCACGAUAUUAUGACAACCUAUUAACCCCCUCAAACAAAGAAAUUCCAGAUUUUGAUACAAUGCUGAAAAAAUAACGAGCGAGGUCGAAGUUUCAAUCUACGAAGUUCAUCCGACAAUUCUUCAGGAAUUUCAAUGGGAGAAUCCUCGAGAUAAAGAAGUUCAAGUCUCUUCAACUUUCCAAGAAAAGACGCGUCACUCACAUCACAUCGAAUCAACUGCAGAACUCGGAGGUUUUUGUCGAGGAAUCGAAGCGAUUUUAGUGAAAUGACUCCACCUAUUAUAGUAACAACUUUCAAUGCUGGCAUCCCUUUAAAAAAAUGUUCUGGAAUUUGCAAUUCAUAAUUAUAUACGGUGUUCACCAAUCGCAGAAUAUGAAGGUUAGGGCAUAUCAAACCACUAGGAAGCUCUUCUUCUUUUUUAUCUACGACCAAAGACAGUCCCCUACACUGUUCCAGGCCUUCUUCCACCGCCCGUUCCACCAUUUCGAUGCCAGUUAUACUAAAAAAUCUCUCCUCUUCCUCCUCCUUCUUUUUGCUUAUCCAUAUGGCUACAUCACGGACUACGUCAUGAAUUUUCACAGAUCUGUCAUUGCCAGUGUCUAACAGCAAUGAAGAAGCUUUGAGCUCUUUCAUCGUUCCACUCAGUAGGCUCCUGACUUUUUCAAUUGACUCAGCUCGAUACCAUCUCAACCCCACUGCAUAUCCAACCAAAUCAUCCAAAUAUAUCUCAUAAUCCUCUGGAAACAAAGAACACAACAAGAAGCACGACCUGGAAUCCUCACCAUUCAAAUAAUCGUAACUAAAUUUGAGACAAUGGUAAACGUCUUGGUCCUCCUUGCCAAUUCCUUCUAUUGUAUUGAGUUUUGAAUCUUGUAGUUUAUCUAGAGCUAGGUUCCACUCAUCAAAUCCUUUAGCUCUUAGUGCACUUCCAACAGCUUUAAUAGCUAAAGGCAGCCCCUUACAUUCAUUAGCAACCUGUUCUGAAACACCAAUCAAGGUUGAAUCAGCAACAUCAAUGCCAGCAAGCUUUCUUAGUAAAGCCAAUCCUUCUUCUCGCUUUAGAACACCUAGUUGAAUCUGCGGGUCACAACGCAUGCGAUCACAAACUGGCUGCAGGCGAGUGGUUAGAAGGAUUUUGCAACAAUUGUCUCCAUCACCAACAGGAAUACCUACUGUCUUCAAGUCGAGUUCAUUCCAGACAUCGUCAAGUAUUAUGAGUAUCUUGCUGCUUUUACUCUCAGAAAACAUCAAGCGCAAUCGGUCUGCUCUCUCUUUUUCAUCUUUCUCAUUUAGUGCCCAGCCUAACGACUUUGCUAGCUCACCUUGAACCUUUAUUAUAUCUGGAUCCUGAGACACAGUGGCUAUCCCCACCUCAUCGAAAAUCUUUUCUUGCCGAAGUUGAUUGCCCACAAAGUUUGCCAAAGUCGUCUUUCCGACACCACCGAUACCAUACAAUCCCACCAUCUUCGUGCUAUCUCUUUUCAGUUCUUCAAUAAUCUGAUUGCAAGUCGAUUCUGUAGUCUCGAAAGACAUAAAAUGUCUUGGUAUAUGCAAUUCUUUGUCUGAUGGUAGAGGUUUAGGAAGGGCAACUGAGCUGAAUUUGCUGCAUUUCUUUUGUAUAUCGGACAACUUGCUAGUCUUCUUUGAUGCUUUUCUACCUAGCCAAUAUCGCCAACCCCAAUUAGGACACCAUCCAUUAAGACAACUCUUCUUUUCAUCUAUCUUUGCUUUCAAAUUUCGAACGUCGGCCAUUUCUUUGUCUACAUCCUCAAGCCAUGUCUUGACAUCUUCCUCGACUUCUAUAGCACGGUGUAUUUGUCGUUCUUGUUCUACUCUUUUAUUGAUGCCAUCUUGUGCCUCCUUCAAAUUAGUUUCUUGAUCCUCAAGUUCUUUAAUAACGCUGUUGAAACAGAGCAGAUAACGAGCUUGGUUUAUGGUUGCAUCCACCAACAACUCUCCAAGCCUUGAUGCAACACCUGACAAAAGUUCCAUGCUAUUUAUCUGCAAUUAAUAAAGUUGAUCUCAGUAAGCUAUAAGCAAAACAAUGAGGCUUGAUCACAAGAUCGAACGAGAAAGUUUAAUUACCUUUUUCUAUUCUGUGAAUGCACGUUUAUUGACACUAGCUUUGACCAGUAAGAGCAAAAUGCAAACGCCGAGCUUUAAGUGGCCAUUAGCUGCAAAACAAAAGAGAGGAAAUAAGGUAAUUUAUUAUUAUUAUUAUUAUUAUUAUUUUUAAGGACGGAUAAAGGUUAGCUAGCUUGCAGACAAAUUUACUAAACUCAAGACAAACCUAAGAGUUUUCCUAAUUUGUUCAAACAUGGAAUAAGCGUUUCACAACAGUAUAUCCAUAAAGGCCCCAGCGAACGUAAUAUGUGCUGGACUAUAUUGAAAUUAGAUUAUUUUAGAAAAUUUUAAAUAAAAAAUAUCAAACAACAAAGAAAUCUAAUAGAAUCUGGAUAAACAGCAUGGGAGAAUAUGGUAAAAUUGAUAAACUUGGUUCAAAAAUUACAAUUCUUUUUGAGAUUUGAACCAACGAUUUUGACUAAGGUCUCCUAAGCCACAAAGCAUAACUCUUACUACUAAAUUACGCGCAUUUUGUUACAUUUAAAUGUGGUCAUAUUCUUUUUAUUAUCUUUUUUUAGAAGGGACUCAUGGUAUACUUAAAAGAAAUAAUAAUGAUUUAGAUGGGGCUGAAGCCCACUCAUGAAAAAAUUUAAAGGUUUUCAAGAUAAUAACCGAUUAUUUUCCACCCAAUAUUCUAAUAGAAUGGUGCCAGAAUUCUCAAAUAAUAUCUUAAUAUUAUUUAACUGGUUGGCACCCACCUAUUGGAUGAUUAAUUUAAUAAUUUGUUACAUUAUUUAAUACUCCAUCUCACUAUCUAGUGAUGUAAAUGGUGGAGAAGGAUCGUCUCCUAGACUUUUUUCUCUCACUAAUCUCUUAGUGAAAUAAGUGGCCGAAAUUGAAUUUUAAUUUUUGAUAUUGACAAUUAAAUUGGCUUGUUUCACAUUAUUAACAAUUAAGCCAAUUUUUUUUUUCUCCUUUUUUCAAUUAGAUUUGGAAGGCUAUAAGAGAGUAGGAGAGAAAAAACACUAGAAGGAGAUCUUAAUCCAUAAAUAGUACCUUAUUUGGGAUGGUAAAGAUUGAGAUAAAUUUCCUCUUAGUCUCUAAAAUUUUGGCCUAUGCGCAGCCAUAAUUUUAGUAUUUUUAAAAAGAAUGGGAUUAUUUACAUUCUAAAAUCUAUUUUGAAUACUCUUUUACUCAACACACUCAUUCAAUAAAUAAAUUUUAAAAAAUAAUUUUUACUUUACACACUAUUUCGAGAGUCAAAACUAUCCUUCAUUAGGACCAUUUCAUUAACUAAUUAUUUUCUAUUGACACCCAUAAAAUAUUCAUCAUUCUUGAACCAUGUGGCGUUAAUUAAUGAUUCCGAAGCAUUAUCAAGAUUCAAGAUUUAUGUUGAAAUUCUUUCAUCUGACAUUUGAACCCAGCCACUAGCUAUAUACAUAUAUACUUUCAAAUGCAGCUCUGGGAAUAUUUUGUGACUGAUUUUAUAAAGUGUUUUAGUUACAUUAAUGCAGUGAAACAAUAAAGAGUACGUGGCUUGCU
rnacentral:lncRNA from 1 species